GGCAAACCACCUGAUUUACCGUGCCUCGCGUACUCUCGCCACAUGUGACUAUGUGCUGACCUACAUCUACUCCUGAAAUUACUAGUACUACAGCAGUAUAUAUAUAUUCUUCGUAAGUACGGCGCCAAGAAUUUCGUGCUACCACGAUACUACGGCCUUAUUUAUUUCGUGAUAUUUUUUGUUUUAGCUAUUAUAACAUUUUCGUUUGUAUUUGAUAAUUAUUGUUCAACUAUAUAUGGACUUACUAGACUUAAAAGAUUCGUCUCAUAAAUUAUAUAGUUAUUUUUUAAUCUAUAUUUAGUGCUUUAUAUAUAUGCCGCAAGAUUCAACGUGACAGAGAGAAUCUUAAAAACUUUACAAAAUAUUUUACAAACUAAAUAGGGCGUGACGACGGAGUGUCCAUGCUGCGGCCUGAACCCUGCACACAUUUUCAUGUGCUCCUUCCCUCUAGUGACGACGAGUGUCCAUGCUGUCGCCUAAACCUCUGCACAUAUUUUUAUGUGCUCCUUCCCUCUAGUACGUUCAACAUAUGUCAGUCAUUUUGGAUAAGGAUGGAGAUGGUGCUGCAAAUAGAUAUCCGUAGUUUUUCUCUAAUUCAACUCAAUGAACUAAAUAAAAAGAAGAAAGAAAUUAUCUAUUUUGUUUAUUAAAUUAGUAGAGAAAAACCAUGGAUACCCAUUUAGGCCAACUCUGAAUCGAACUAGCUCUGUCCAUGUCAUCGGAACAAGAAUUCAGAGCCGAUUGGCCUUGGCCACUGACCUUGUGCCGAUGGCACGGUGGCCAGUUACCACUGUUUGUCCCCGAACAGAAAAUAACCGUGUGUUUGGUUGGGGGUUGGAGCGAGGUGGGUUGAGUUGGACCCGUCUCUACGGCUGUUUGCAUGCAAUUUGAGGUGGAUUGGGUUGGCUCUAGAGAGAAUAUUCACGUGAGAUACGAGUUGGACUCGCCAAAAUUUGGUGGACGGAGCCGCUAUCGCAGGGUUGAGUGGGACCUGCACGGGGACCACGAACGGUGUCAGUCACGCCCGCGCCUAAAGCUCGCCCAUGGCCGGAGCUCGGCUGCGGCGGAGCUAGCCCGUGGCCAGAGCUCGCCUGCGCAGCAUCCUCUGCUCUGCCAUGAACAGAGGUAGAUAAAGGCCACCAACGCAAUUUAGUUUCACUUUCUGGAUCUUUAUGCAAAACUGCCAUGACUUAUAGGUUUUAGAGAUCCGGCCUUGUCUAAUUUCUGAAAAACUCAGGAUUUUUAAUAAAAAAUGCCCUCACUAAGGCUUUGUUUAGGCCUUGUUUACUUCCAAAAUAUUUUACAAAAUAUGAACAAUAGCACUUUUAUUUGUUUUUGAUAAAUAUUAUCCAAUCAUGGACUAACUAGGCUCAAAAGAUUCGUCUCGUAAAUUACAGGUAAACUGUGUAAUUAGUUAUUUUUUAUUUAUAUUUAGUGCUUCAUGCAUGUGCCACAAGAUUCGAUGUGAUGGGGAAUAUGAAAAAUUUUGCAAAAUAUUUUGGGAACUAAACAAGGCCUUAGUUCACCCAAAAAACUAAAAAAAAUUCAAGAUUCUCUGUUACAUCAAAUCUUGCGGCACAUGCAUAAAGUAUUAAAUAUAUAUGAAAACAAAAACUAACUGCACAGUUUAAUGUAAAUUACGAGAUGAAUCUUUUGAGCCUAGUUAGUCCAUGAUUAAAUAAUAUUUGUCAAAUAAAAACGAAAGCGUUACAGUACCGAAAUCCAAAAAAAAAUUCGGAACUAAACAAGUUCUAACGCUGUUAUUUUGCCAUCUAACCUGUUUUUUUUUCAAUUUCUUCAACCAAACAAGAGAUGAGUUCGAUCCAUCCCAAAUUUAAUAAAUAGGUUGGCUCUAUUCCUAAAAUAAAAGUUAGAUCCAACACAACCCACCCAUCUUGCAACCAAACACACGCGAAAGCUUGAACGUUCCUAGCGAUCGAAUUGGACCACGACUUGCCCUACUGAACCUGGAAGCGUACAAUACAGGGCACGCUGGUCUCUGUCUCACUCGGAAUGUUAAAUAUAAAUUGCCAAAUUGGCCAGCGUCCGCCGCUGCUGAUCGCGUAGGAGCUGAACGACGACGAGCGAGCAAGCACCCAGCAGUCAACGUCGAUCGCCUUCAGCUCUCUGUCUGCUCAUGGCGUGCGUCCGUCUCGGCCGCCGUGGCACAAACGCCAAGCGCACCCCACGUGCCGCCCGUCUAAGGUCACAUGAUAUAGUAAUACUAUACAACACCCAUGUGUUUUAUCAACAAAAAACACAUGGUUUUUUCUGUGUCUAUGACAUUAAGGCCCACGUCCAAUUCCUCUCCCUCCCUCCCUCACGCGCCUCCCUCCCUCCCUCCUUCUCGACCGUCGCCUCCCUCCCGAUGCGGCUACAUUUCUUCCUCCUCCGACGCCGGCGAGCACCCAACACCCACGUCCGGCGACAGCACGCCUCCCUACGGCGGCAACGACGGGCACACACCUCCCAGCGCCCGCACCCAGCGCGCCUCUAGCGCCCGCGCCCGUCGGCACCAGCCAUGGCAGCAGCGGUGGCGGCGGUUUCGCCGGCUCGAUACUAAUAUUGCAACGAAGGCAGCCAGUGGAUAGCAGUGGGCUUCAAGUCCUUGUCAGUGCUCAACUGCUCAUGGCUUCGUCAAGCUCGUAAUCUGGCCAAAAUGUAGAUCACCUAUGCUUACUUGCUUAGCUCGUCUUUGUUUGUGUGUUCUUCCUUUUGUUUCAGUUUGUUCUGACAUCUCGCCAAGCGGCCCUGUGUUUGUACUCUUUUUUCUCUACUUAAUGAAAUACGUGCAAGGGGUGCUCUCGGAAGAAAAAAAACUAAUGCUGCAUACUAGACCCGUUCGCUUAUCUUAUAAAUCGUAUUUUUUCUACGAGCCAACAUAACUUUUCAAAUCAGCCAACAUCAGCUAGCUAGGUAGGGAGGCACAGCCGCCUGAUUUCACUGGCCUUGCUAGACGACAUGCUGCCGUAGAGUGUAUGGCAUUGACCUACUCAUAUAUCUAUCUGGCCUAGACUUAGGUGGUGUAAGUACGGCGUGAAGCAAAACAGCUAGUAUCACGGAUCGUCGAAACAUGUUCAGCACAGCACAUGGUUGCGCUGUUCAAGGCAGCAGCGUAGAAUGACCUUCUUGACGAUCCAGUUAUACUAUAUGCUAGUAAUUUCUUACUACCAGUCAUAACACUCAGCCGCGAUUUGUUAAAACUGAAAAACAUCUAGUAUUAGCUCAUAGUGAGCGCAGCUGUCUUCCCUGAAGGCCUGGUUCCGUCCGAUGGCUACCUUGGGCGCUUGUCUCUGAAUCGUAAGAAAAAUGAUCUGUACCUUGCUCUUCCUUUCAUAGCAAACAUGCAUUUUGUAUGAACAGAGUACCUCGUCAAAACAUCCUACACAACGAUGUGCACUACACGUCUGGCCUCGAGCAGUUGUCGCGCAGUGCCUUGGACGAUGAAGCAUGCUCGUCAAUUUCUUGUCAUGUAGCCUUGUUUAGUUGCAAAAAAUUUUGCAAAAUUUUUCAGAUUCUCCGUCACAUCAAAUCUUACGACACAUCCAUAAAGCAUUAAAUAUAGAUAAAAAAUAAGUAAUUGCACAAUUUAUCUGUAAUUUACAAGAUAAAUUUUUAAAGCCUAGUUAGUUCAUGAUUGGAUAAUAUUUGUCAAAUAUAAACGAAAGUGAUACAUUAUCGAUUUUGCAAAAAAAUGGAAUUAAACAAGGCCGUGGAUCUCCUUGCCUGGUUCCAUGCAUAAGAAAGGUUAGUUGUCUGAUUCCAUGAGAAUGCGAGAAGACGACGACUCACUAGUCACUACCUAGUACUCCAACUAGUAGGGCAUAUGAAAGCUUCCAUUCGGAAUGUUGCUAGAGUAGAGGUAGCCAUCAGAUCGUUGCAGACGUGUGGUGUGGUGGUGAUUUCCUAUGUUCCCAUCGGUUUGUUCUGAACCUGUGCUCGAUCCAGUAGUCCAGUAGCAGUAGCAGCCAGCGAAGGGCACUGUCGCCCAGCUGAUAGUGGAGUAGUGUACACCACUUGGCCACCAGCAGCCGCCUCUCCGCUCCGCUCACUGCCUGCCUCAAGUCCUCAACGACGACAACGAGCGCAUCCUCAACAACCUCCCCUUCAGCUUGACACGGCCCGGUUCAUUAGAGUCUCGCAACCUUGAGCACAGCUAACAGGUUCAUUGGAGUUAGUAUAAAACAAAUGUGUGACACAAGAAAUGCCCCGGAAGAAAUUGUCAGCAGUAUUAUAGCCUUCGAAUUUGCAAUUGCAAACAACAAAACAUAUGCAUGACAUCAACAGGGUCACCGGUGCCUAGCUCAUCAAUCGUCACAUUAUUGCUUCUUUUUUCUUGCCUUGUGAAAUUCACAUGGAAAUUCUACUGUUAUAUCAAAGUUUUUUUUUUCAUUUUUAUACACGUCACACCUAGGAUUGGACGUUCAAGAGCGUAGCCAUAGAUAAGGCCGUGUUUAGCUGGUGUAGGAAAAAAAAAUUCGUGACACUGUAGCACUUUUCGUUUGUUUGUGGUAAUUAUUGGCCAAUCAUGGACUAACUAGGCUCAAAAGAUUCGUCUCGUAAAUUUUGGCCAAACUGUGAAAUUAGUUUUUAUUUUCGUCUAUAUUUAAUACUCCAUGCAUGCGUCUAAAGAUUCGAUGUGACGGAGAACUUGAAAAAUUUUAGGUAUACCCAAACCUAAAAUGGGUCUCCAACAUAAUACCUACAGCCUCCAACUGAGUACCCAUACAGAAGACCCAUUUUGGGUAUCAGGAGAGGCAUAACCCAAAUUUAGGUAUCCUAUCUCAUCGAGACCUAUUUGCAGAGCGUGUUGUCUUUUAGGUUUUGUUAUUGAAGAAGACUAAAAAUAGGUAUGAAACUUUUUACCUAUAGCGCUACCUAAAGAACAAAUGAGUCUUGUAUUUUGGCUAAGCAUAGAAGAUCCGUCACACACACUGUACACCAACUGCCACGUAGGACGCAUAGGGUUUUGACUUUUAACAAUUACGACUCCCUCCCUCAGUCUCAAAUAGAAAUCAUUCUCGCUUCUUGAGAAGUUAGAUUUUUAAACUUUUACCAAUUAUAUAAAAAAAUGUUAAUAUUUAUAAAAUAUAUUUAAUAUCAUUCAAUAUAUCAUUAAAUAUAUUAUUAUAAUAAAUUUAUUUAGAGAUAUAAAUAUUAUACAUAACUUCUAAAAAUCUUGUUAAAAUUGGACCGAUACGCAUAUCAUGACGUCAUCUGUUUUUGGUACAGAGAGUACCAAUUAUUAUUUCCUCCUCCGAAUACGGUUUCCCCAAAAUACGCCUCUUCCAGUUACUUGGCGCCAGUAUCCGUUGCCCGUUGCAGUGGUGAGUAGGUGACAGUUCCCCUUCCAGACCCCGAAACUUCGAAGAGCCCUAACUAAACCCAUGGCGCUCUCCGCCGCUCGCCGGCUCUCCACCACUACUUCCACCUCCUCCUCGGCCGCAGCCGCCGCGGCGCCGCCGAAGCUCUCCUCGCUGUUCCGCAAUCCGAAGCCUCGACCGCGGCCGGACCCCGGCGUCGAUGCGCCGCGGCGGGGGCCUAGGCCCAAGCCGAGGCAGCCUUGGGAGGAGGAGGCGGGGGCGCUGCUGCGGCGGCUCCACGAGGGGGGCUAUCUCCCGGGGCCCGACCUCUCUUCGGCGCCGCACGCCGCCUCCCCCGACUCCGUCAAGACCGCCGCCGAGCGGUUCGGGCACGACCACCAGCCCGUCGCCAAGUGAGCCUCACCACCGACCCUCUUUGCUCCUGCGCUUAUUGUUUCAAUGGGUUUUUAUAUAAAUUUGAAAUCAUUGGGCACUGAAUGUAUCGUUUUACACGCAUAGAUUUGAAAUCAUUGGCACUGAAUGUAUCUCACGAGCUAUCUAGUGUUUCUUCUAGUAUUCCAAGUCGAUACUUGUUGGUUAUGAAUCAGUGAUGAGGAUGAGAUGAGAUUUUAAAUUUUCGCACCCCAUUCCUGCAAUCAAUAGGGGUCAUGUUGUGCAAUGGGAAUGUGCGAAGUGGAUUAGUUGCAAGUAUCGAAUUGUUGCUCAGUGUUAGCACUUAGUAGAUGCUUCAAAUUGCAAGGAACUAGACUAUCCAUUUAAUAAGAUGUAAUUAAAUAACCUGAUUGAAUGAGAAAUUUGCUCAUAUGUUGUUUUCAGAUACUUCCUAAAUGCUUCAAAGUAAACCCUUGCAAUUUGUCUCCUCGAGGACAUUAUUGUUUCAAAGGUAUUCUUUCACAAUUCGGUUAGUUCCAGACCUGAUGCAAGUAACUGGGAUUGGAAAGUUAACAUGUUCUGUUCAUGUGGAUUGUGAAACCGGGGAGAAUUUCUUGAAAUGUUGUGUUGAUUUGGUCAGCAAUGUUAGAAUAGCACAUUCACCGUGUUGGUUAAUUCCACCGCCUUGGGAAGUAGCUGCUCUUACAUUUUACACGCAUAGAUUUGAAUUCAAAAGCUUAGUGUAUCUCCUGAGUUCUUGUGUUUCUUCCAGUGUGUUGGUUAUGCAUUGAUGAUGGGGAUGAGAUGAGGGUUUUUUUCCCCCAAAGUCCUACACCACAUUUAAACAAUCAACGGGGUUAUGUUGUCAUUGAAUGUGCUGAGUGGAUUAGUUGUAAGUGUCGACUUGUUGCUCUGGAUACAUCUCUGUAAGCAUUAGCCGAUGCUUCAUAUUGCAAGCAAUAGAUUAAGCAUAUAAUCCAAUGCAAUUAAAUAGCCGAAUCAAAAGUGAAAUUUGCUCAUAUGUUGUUUUCAAAUACUUCCUACAUGCUUCUAGGUAAAGCCCUUGCAAUCUGGUAAAGCCCUUGCAAUCUGUGUCCUGGAAGACAUUCAUGUUUCUUCUUUUCAAACUGAUUACACUUCUUAGUUCAAUCCAUCUCUCUCAAGCUUUAUGGUAUUUGUAUUUCACGCGAUAAACUGUUGAGCAAAUUAUUUGCAGUGCAUCAAUAUUAUAUAAACCACCUCAUUGAAUUUACCUUCCUCUGGAUCCUGCCAAUUAAUGAUUCUUGGGGUAAAACAGAUCUCGGUAAAUGAUAAGACCCUACCUUUGAGUUAAAUCCUUGCACAAGUAUUUAAAUUCUGCAAUAUUACUGCUCAAAUUUUUGUAGUUACCAGGGUAUGGAUAGCUGUUUUGCUUUGUAUGAAUUUACUAAUUUCUAUUAGUAAAAGUGAAAAAGAAAGCAAGUUGUAGAGCAAUUGCUUGUCAGUUGUCACUAAAUCUGUCUGCUGUUGAACAUGGGUAUCCUGGAGGACAUUUGUGUUUCAUCUUCAUAAAACAUAUCACAUUUGUUUGUUCCAUCCAUGUGGUUUGAGCUUUAAUAUAUUUGUAUUUGAUGGGAUAAAUUGUUAAGCAAACUAUUUGCAAUCAUCAAUACUAUAAAAAACCGUCUUAUUAAAUUUACCGUCUUCUGGAUGAUGCCAAGUCAUGAUUCUGGGGAAAACAGAUCUUGGUAAUGGAUAAUGCCCACCUUCAGUUUGAAUCCUUGGAUAAGGUGUUUUUUUUUUUUUUGAUUGAGCCCAACAUAUAUAAAAUAAACAUAGAGGUUCAGAGGAAACUUACAAGAUGGAAAUCUAACCAGAUAAGUAUUAAGAAUCCUGCAAUGUUACUGGUCUGGAUUUUGUAGUUAACGUGGUAUGUAAGUGUUUCUUUUGUAUGAACGUAACAAAUUCUAUUAGCUAAAGUGAAAGAGAAAGGAAGUCACAGAACUAUCGUGUCACCAAAUCUGUCUUCUAUUGAACAUUUUUAUCCUGGAUUCUGGAAGACGUUCAUGUUUCUUCAUAAAACUGAUUAUUACACUUCUUAGUGCCAUGUGGUUGAAGCUUUAAUAUAUUUGUAUUGUACAGGAUGAAUUAUUAAGCAAAUUAUUUAUGAUACAUCACUAUUAUAUAAACUGGUUCAUUGAAUCUAUGAUCCUUUGGAUACUGCCAAGUCAUGAUUCUUGGGGCAAAACAGAUCUUGGUAAAUAAUAAAUCUCCAUCUAAGAUUUGAAAAGUUGCAUAAGGGUUGAGGUUCUGUAAUGUGACUGACCAGGUUUUUGUAGCUGGCUAUGGGUUCAUAUAAUAUAAACAUAUUAUUUUCAAUCAGCUAAAGUGAAAAAGAAAGGAAAUCUCAAAACUGUUGCUUGUCACUAAAUAUGUCUGCUAUUGAAUAUUUCUCUAUUGCUGGCAGAUGGCUGUCAGGGAGUGAUUUGAAGAAGGUUGCCUUGUUUGGGUGUCCCACUGUUGAGCGAAGAACGGUUUUCGCAUCAAAAAGAUUAAGAGUGUUCUUCAACCUCCAGGAAGACAAAGUAAGUUUACAUAGUUGCAUGGUGGGGUAGUUGUCUUCAGUCUUAACACAUAAUAUUAGGAGAGAAGGAUAAAAGGCGCUCUUAACAUAUGGUCAAGGCUAACUUUUUAAUAUUGUCCCCAUUUCAGAUAUGCAGCUCUUGUAAACUGAGAAGUUCGUGCAAGUUUGUGAACCAGGAAGUGGUUAGGCAUAAUAAAGUGAUUCUAUCAGAUACAAUGAGAAUUAUUUCUUUGUUUGUACUGGAUGCUUGCGCGCAGCAACUCCAGGUUACUGCUGAGUUAAAAGCCAGCGUCUGCAAGCUGCUGAAGGAUACCAUAAAUCUUAGCAGUUAAUUGCUGAACAUCCAGAGCAGAACUCUGCAGUUUUAUUUAUUUAUUUAUUUAUUUAUUUUUAGUCCUAGUUGUAAUAGAGUGCUGUCAGCAUUUAUUUGGAGGAAAUAGCCAAGGCCCAUGUUUGACGCUGAUAUCGCAAUCGCUCCCUGUCAAGGUUAGAGUGGUGAGCCCCAGUGAUUUUUUUUCUACUGAUUCAUGUUUUCUUUUGUGCAACUAUAGGAAGACUAAGUAUAGAGGAUGUAGAAACAGCAUAAGCCAAAUUUCAACAUAAGUUGCAUGUCGCCCUGUAGCCUUUUCUUAUUCAUACACUGUAGUACUGUUAUUGUUCCCUGCCUCCAUCUCGUCCAACUUUCAUAAAUUCAGGUUCGAUCAAACAAAUAAGAGAUACAUACAGCACUUUAACCUUGAGCUUUUAUUUAUUACAUGGCACUAAACUGUCCUUUUUGGUUUGUUUUGGCAGCGCUAUGAAGCGGUGAGAUCUCACAUCAGUUCGUUGGCAUCUGGCCUCCGGAUUCUGAGGACUUGAGGAGUGAACACUGAAGACAACUAAUAACAUCCAGCUGUAAGAGCCCUAUUGAGAGGGGCCCUUGGUGGGUGGCGGCUAGGGUUUGGGAAGAGAGGAGAGGGAGGUGGCUCAGAGACAGAGAGGACAGAGGAGAGGGAGACGCUAGGAGAGGGUCGGAGUCGGCAGGGAGAGACAGAGAGGUAUGGGAAGGGGUAAUUUUUCUUCUAUUGCUUAAUUAGAUUGAUCACAUCAUUCUUGCAUAUAUAGUUCCUAUUGGACUAUCCCAAGCAACUACGGGAGAUCCUUGUAGAUUGGAUUACAUAACAAACCAUACUCUAAUAUGGUAAACCUCCUAACCUAAUCCCUUCCGAGCCGGCUAGCGCCCCUACUUGGGCUUCCCUAGUCCCGUUAGCUCUAGGUUAGGGGCCUCUCAUUAGACGAAUGGCACCAUCAAUCCUGGAUAAGCAUCAGGUCUCAUGUUUGCUUGAUGUCCCGACAACCUCGCUAUAUCUGCAUUGAAUUGCCUAACGAUGUACAGGAACUGUGGACGUUGACGGCGACCUCAAGAUGGAACAAUUUGAUGACAUUAUCACAUAAUAGUUCAUUCCCCUUGGGACAUGAUGAUAAGCACGUUUGUCAAGUUCCUUGUCCCUGAAGCAUCACAUGUUUGACCACAAUUGUUUAUCGAUGAUAAUUCUUGUUUAAUAAGGUUACUUGAUAAUUAUUGCUUAAGGUUACUUGCUGCUGGAAGUCAUCGUGCCAAUUUCAGUGGUUCGGUGACUUUACACGACGUAAGAAACGAAAGGGAUACUAGUAGUAUCCUGUAUCCUAGUAUCUGACGUGACUUGUUCUUCAUUUUCUUCUAUAUAUACUAAUAGUAGGAGUGAGUAUUAGGACCCCCUUUGGUCCAGAAAUCAUGUAGAGCAGGAGUUUUAUAGAAACCAGUUUAAUUUUACACAAGCUUGGGCCUUUAACGCCCCCGUGACCGUGGGUUAUGGUAUCUCAAGGAAGUUCCAACAUGGAUAUGAUGCUGGAUCCUACUAGUGUUCGUGUCAGGAAUGGAGAAGUGAGUGAUUGAUUGGCACGCGCCAAUGCAGAGGCAUAUUCCCAUGAAAGCUUGCUGUACUGCAGGGUUAAAAGGUUCAGUGUUUCACCAAUCAGCACCGGGGGUCAUCGAGCAUCACACACUGCAUCAGCCUGAUCUCCACGUGACGUUGUUUACCUAUCUGCCGGUACUACGACACAAACCCGGCCAUUAAUCUUUAACUACGGUAGGAGCAUGAGUGUGGUGUCACGAUCUGUAUUAGUUAUACUCCCUUGACGUUUGUUUCUUUGUUUAUAAUAAAAACUGUCACUGCCAGUAUCUGUGAUCUGUAAUGAAACUACUACUACUACUACUAGUGCUAGUAAAAACACUUUUGUUAGCCGGCAGGCAAUGCGUGUCUGGGUGAGGUGAGCGAUUAUUAUAUGGCCUUGUUUAGUUUCCAAAAAAUUUUGCAAAAUUUUUCAGAUUCUCCGUCACAUCGAAUCUUUAGACACAUGUAUGGAGUAUUAAACAUAGAUGAAAAUAAAAACUAAUUACACAGUUUGGUCGAAAUUGACGAGACGAAUCUUUUGAGCCUAGUUAGUCCAUGAUUGGACAAUUUUUGUCAAAUACAAACGAAAUUGCUAUAGUGUCAAUUUUGCAAAAAAUUUUGCAACUAAACAAGGCCUAUCUGGGAGCACCGCCGUCCGCGUGCUCCAGCUGCUCCAAUUGGCAUUGAGCCCCCAGCCAGCCUCGUGUCGUAUCGUAUUGUACGUACCCCUAGCAACUGGUCAAUAUACUACACUAGGAAAGUUUGACGCCCUUUCCCAGGCUAAUGCGCCGUCACUUUCUAGGCCUUGUUUAUUUCCAAAAAUUUUUGCAAAAUAUGAAUACUAGUAUUUUCGUUUGUAUUUGACAAAUAUUGACCAAUCAUAGACUAACUAGGUUCAAAAGAUUCGUCUCGUCAAUUUCGACCAAACUGUGCAAUUAGUUUUUAUUUUCGUCUAUAUUUAAUACUCCAUGCAUGCGUCUAAAAAUUUGAUACGACGGGAAAUCUGAAAAUUUUUGCAAAACUUUUUGGAAAGUAAACAAGGCCCUAGUUUUUUUUUCUACCACCCCCCUCCUUUUUUUUUCUCCCCUCGUGGAUGCUUUUCACACUCCAUUUCGCUCGUGUCGUAUGGUAUGGUAUGCAUGGGGUUGGCUUGGCUGCUGGCUCGUUCAACCUGAAGAAAAGAGUCCACACUUGGCCUUGUUUAGUUCCCAAAAAAUUUUGCAAAAUUUUUCAGAUUUCUCGUCACAUCAAAUCAUUAUAUGCAUGCAUGGAGUAUUAAAUAUAGGUGAAAAUAAAAACUAAUUGCACAGUUUGGUUGAAAUUGACGAGACGAAUCUUUUGAGCCUAGUUAGUCUAUAAUUGGACAAUUUUUAUCAAAUACAAACGAAAAUGCUACAGUAUCGAUUUUGCAAAAUUUUUUGGAACUAAACAAGGCCUAGCGCACUGGGAGUGGUCGGAACGGAGAUUGCUCGGCGUGGCAUGGCAAUGAGCGCGACGUCAGGUCCAACGGGGUAUCACUGACUGACUGACUGAGGUCUCGUUGGGAUCAGAAUUUUUUUUUAGAUUUUUACACGAUAUUACUUUCGUUUUUAUUUGAUAAAUAUUUUUUAAUUAUGAAGUAAUUAGAUUUAAAAUAUUCGUCUCGUGAUUUAUAAAUAAAUUAUAUAACUAUUUUUAUUUAUAUUUAAUGCUACGGGUCUCAGCUCCUCCGUAUACACGGUACCAGCGUUCCCAUUUGGUGAUCCGUUCCCCGAGGUGGCGCAAGCGGGUGGCAUGCUGUGUCUGCAUCGGUCAGUGCGCUGCGCACUGUCACUGUGGACUCUGGUCGAGAGAGAGAGAGCAUCUAGGGCCGCUGGCCGCAGCAGGCGUGACACAAAUGAUUCCACAACAAUGGCCGGGUGGGUCAGUGGCAGUGCCGCAGGGGGGUAGGGUUGGCCACAGGAGGAAGGGAUGAGGAUGAGGACGGACGAGGAUGAGCCCGAGAGGACGACGUGGGACCCCCCAGGUUUCCGUGAUCACGUGGUGGCAGCACGUUGGCUGCCUGCUGCCGCCGCGGCGUCCGCCUUGGCUUUGGCUCCGUGCGCCGGCCUGAACCCAUGCGACGGGGGACGCGGCCCCCUCCCCGCGCGCUCACGUGCAUGCUGCUGCGCGCUGCGACCCAGGCAGCAGUCCCCCCGGCCCCGGCUCCGCGUUUGUCCCCUCCUGCCGUGGCGUCAGUCGUCACCCACCCUGUGGGUCCCGCUCCACGCUGACGAGAUACUACUACCAACAGCGCCGCGCUGUUCCGCGGCAAGGGCACAGUGCGCGUGCGUGCCUACUGUACGACGGAUCUACUACGGCCCCACCACCAAGCGGACGUAGUACACGUACAGUACCAACACCACUCUCUAGCACCGCCGGGUGCAUGCUCUGGCAUGUGCAAGGUCCAUUUUCACCUCCUACUGCUAGGGUACCUCCGUGCGAGAAAGAAAAUAUAAGGCACACGUUUCUGCUGGGUGCCCGAGUCAAGCUCAGAUUGUCAAAAAAAAAAAAAGAGAGAAAAGCUCAGAGAUUUUAAGAUUUUGUUUUCGAUCUAUUGGGAUUAUUAUAAAUACCGCCACGACUGAGCUUUAUGGACAUUCCACGUUGCGCUGGGUGCGCGUACAAGAAAUCGCCUCCCGCGCCGCACACGCCGGUCUAGACGCGAGACCCUGCUACGCCCCCGUUCCCACACGGGCCGUCCCUGCUCGUCGGGACCCGCCCAACCCCCACGUGUCGACCGCCAGAGGGGGCCUCAACGUCCUCGCGCUCCGUGCAGUCCAGUGUCCACUGUCCAGCACCGGCUCCCCCGCGUUCGCUGUUCAGGCGUGCGGCCGCCGCUGCCUGCCCCGCCCCGCCCUCCCCGGCUCCCCGCACGCCGAGACGAGCCUAAAAUACGACGCUGGGGACCGAGGGAGAGGGAAGAAAAGAGACGAAAAUACUACAGGCGUGAUCCGUAAAAGCGAACGGUGGGCCCGCUCACGUGUCCCCCUCCUUCGUCCUUCCCGCGGUGGGCCACCUCGGUCGUACUACUACAGCCCCCCCCCCACCCCACGCCGUGCGGCCCCCUCCGGCCGCCAUGUGGGCCCCACGUCCCACUGGCGCCCACGUGCAGCGCCGCUCGACGUGGACCGAGCCGCGCCGGGCGGGCCGCGCGCGGCGGAGACACGCUUCGUGGCCUGCCGCUGUCUGGUAGUAGUAGGGCCGUUUCCCCAUUCUGCCCCCGCCGGACCCUGUUCCGGAGGGCAUCGCUUCAGGCGCACGCCUACCGUUACCGCGCCCUCUCUCUUUCUCUCCUCCGCACCGCACGGGCCGCGCACGACCACGCGCGCUGGCACUGGCACUGGCACUGGCAGUGGCAUCCGCGGAAAUACAUGCGGAACUCGAGGGGCCUUGUCGUCUGCCUCUCCACGGGCCGGACGGACCCGAGAGCCUUUCAAGGCUCACGCCACUGCUCCCCUCACCCCCAGUCCCUUCCACCCACCCAACCCCGUCUCCUCCCUCGCUCGCCUCGCCUCGCCUCGCCUCGCGCGGCGUGUUGCCUUUUUCCGUGUGAUCUCUUCUCGCCUCACGCUUCUCCCCCCUCGCUCGCUCUCUCCUCAGCACCCAGACGAGCGCGCGCGGCGACCCUGGUCCUGGUCCGGCAGGUCUCCCGUCCCCUCGUCCUCCCUCCGCGAGCGGAGCCGAGCUGAGCGGGGGCUCGCGCGGGGCGUGACAUGGCGAGUGGUGGCGGCGGGGGCGCGGGCGGGGGCCUGGGCGCCGCGGGCGCGGGUGGACGGAUGCCCACGUGGAGGGAGCGCGAGAACAACAAGCGCCGGGAGCGCCGCCGCCGCGCGAUCGCCGCUAAGAUCUUCGCGGGCCUCCGCGCGCACGGCGGGUACAAGCUGCCCAAGCACUGCGACAACAACGAGGUGCUCAAGGCGCUCUGCAACGAGGCCGGGUGGGUCGUCGAGCCCGACGGCACCACCUACCGCAAGGUAUGAAGCUGCCGCUGCUCCUUUUCCCCACCCGGCUCGCCGCGCCGGCAGAUCUCGUCUCUCCCCCGUCUUCCCCGCAGUCCCCAAGCCACAGUCCCCCGCCGAUUCGCGACCUCUCCGUCUCGAUCCCGCCAAAUACUCCGUCGAUCCCGAAGCGUGCGCCGUGGGUUGUUGGUACCUGCUGUACGGUGGUGUGAACUGUGUGUAGCUAGCUAGCUGUUCGUUUUUUCUCCAUUUUUUUGGGUGGGUGGGUGGGUGUUGCACGUGGACGAUAGGCAAAAGGUACGGGAUGCCAGUCUGGACCGCGCACGGGUGGUGUGAUUGACGCGUUCGUGGAGAAUCCCCUUCGCGUAGCUGCAAAUUUUGCCGGAGAUGAGAUGAUUCUCCAUGGAUUGGAGAUGUGUCUGGCAUCCAGUUCUGUUACUGCUCCGACCCUGCAGCGCUGCUGUUACAGCAUUUUGCUGUUGGUCCUGCAGCCCUGUUUCGGUACCGAAUCGGUUGAUUGGUUGUUGGUGUUGCUCUUGCAUUGAUAUGCACCUAUAUAAUCAAUUAUAUGCAAGAACAAGUUGCCAUUGCCCGCUCCAUGCCUCCAUUGCUUUAAAUUAGUACCUCACAAGUCAUGUCGCUACUCACUAGGUUGUUGUGUCGUGUGUGGACUGUCCUGAGGCAUAAUGUGGAGCAUCUCUUCCAGCUAAAAGGAUACUGGAAAAUAUGAUUUGCAGUGUGAGCCUUGCACAAGCUGUUGCACGUGUGAUCGUUAACUGAACUGUUUUGGGUACUACUACUUAAUUAUAGAUAGCAUUUGCCAUUCUUAACUAUGUUGUUCUGACUUACAGAUUAAGGUCUUUUUGGUUCCCAUAUUACGCAAUGGACAUAGCUGAUGAUAACAGAUUCAAGUAUUUCUGCUAAUAGUUCUGGGAGAUUGGUGCUGUUGUUUGCUAUUGGAAUGGUUCUAGUGACAUUACAACUAAUCAUGUCUCCCUUUUCUCCCACAGGGAAGCAAGCCCAUGGAACGCAUGGAUCAUAUCGGUUGCUCCGUGUCACCAAGCCCAUGUUCAUCAUACCAAGUCAGUCCACGAGCAUCAUACAAUGCAAGCCCUACUUCCUCCUCAUUCCCCAGUGGUGCAUCUUCCCCUUUCCUCCCUCCCAACGAAAUGGUCAAUGGUGGUAUCGACGGCAAUCCAAUCCUACCAUGGCUUAAGACAUUCUCCAACGGUACUCCAUCAAAGAAACACCCGCUUCUCCCACCACUGUUGAUCCACGGUGGCUCAAUCAGUGCUCCAGUAACCCCUCCUCUAAGCUCACCGUCAGCCCGAACACCUCGGAUGAAGACAGACUGGGACGAAGCAACCAUCCAGCCUCCAUGGCAUGGUGCAAACAGCCCCACAAUAGUGAACUCCACGCCGCCCAGCCCUGGGCGGUCCAUUGCUCCAGACCCUGCAUGGCUUGCUGGUAUCCAAAUCUCAUCGACCAGUCCAAAUUCCCCGACAUUCAGCCUCGUGUCCACCAAUCCGUUCAGCGUCUUCAAAGAGUCUAUCCCGGUCGGCAAUUCGUCGUCAAGGAUGUGCACGCCAGGGCAGAGCGGUACCUGCUCCCCUGCGAUCCCAGGCAUGCUCCAACACUCAGACGUUCACAUGAUGGACGCGGUCUCCGACGAGUUUGCGUUUGGGAGCAGCACGAAUGGCGCUCAGCAGGCUGCUGGGCUAGUCAGGGCGUGGGAAGGCGAGCGGAUCCAUGAAGACUCUGGAUCAGACGACCUCGAGCUUACGCUGAAGCUCUAGAGCAGGCCGGGUGGGCGCUGAUGCUUAACAUCGCUAACAUGAGGAAUUGCUGCUGUUGUUUUUAGUGUACUUGUUAUUGUUUAGUUCCUGAUGAUGGAGGCCUAUCAUAUGGCUCCAGGAUAGAUUCACUUGUGUUGAUGAUAAUUGUGGUGUUAUUUAUGCUUGGAGAGAGCGCAGUAGAGGUGAAAGACUUGAUAGGUUCGGGGCAAAAUUAGCUCAAAAUGUAGCCCGGAGCCGCAUUCAGCUAACUGACGGUCUCAAGUUGGCUGUUGCAUACUGUGCUGUUGUUGUGACAACUGUAAAUUAAUGUCAGAAAAUCAUUCAGAAAUGAUCUGGGAAUGUUUUAUAAGCCCAGCGGGGGCAUUUUUGUUUCUGCCACUGCACUGCGCCACAGCCGCCGUUGCCACGCUUGUCGCACGCACGCGCACGGGAACACCCCGCCGGAGUUUUGCCGUGGUCAGCGGGUGACGGUGCUGGCGGUGCGUGCCGCGACGACCCCGCUGAUGUCGACGGAACGGCGCCGCGUGCCGUGUGGUUGCCCAACAGGGACGCCGGGCGCUUCCGCCUGUCGGCCGGCGCCGGGGCGGAGACUCACCGGGUGUCCCCGAUCUGCCCCCUCUCCUGCCUGCCUGACUAUUCCCGCUGGUGCGGUGCGUUCGCCAUCGGCCCGUCGCUGCCUGGAUUAACUGAACCGAUGGUACCGGUUCAGCGAUUGCUUGCUUGAUCGCGGAUUUCCCACUUCCCCGUUUCCCCCGGACUUCCGGCCUCUCGUGCGGGCGCGGCCGGACCCGGUCGACGCGUUCACGGCCGCGCAAGUCCACUGUCCAUCACACGCGCUCGCUCGGUGGCGUUGUCAUGUCGAGGACCAAGUGGCGGCCUCGCGGGAUCAGCUGAGCUGAUAGUGACACUUACGUGCCGCUGUGCUGCUGGUAAAAGGUAAACGAUCGGAUCACGCGCUGUUACACACGACAUGACACCACGGAUUUGCUGUGAUUUGUUUGACCCGAUCAAAUGCACGUAGUACGUCGUGAUAGCUAGCUCUAGCUGCCCCGGUCACCAACUGAGGGAGAGUUGGUUGCCAAACUUGCGCGGGAAUUCAGCCGGCCGUGUGCGAGUGAGCAAGCCUGCUUGCUGUUUUGGCUAGACAGGUGAGAGCGACGUGCACGCGUGGUGAUGCUGGCCUAAACCCCCUUCUUUUUGGUUUAUUUAUUAAAAGAAAAGAUUCUGGUCCAGACUUGCGGUGCACCACGAGCAUCUCCGGGGAACUCGUACCCUUGCACGUUAUUAGUUUACUCUGGCUGCCCAAAGCACAGCACGUUAUUGAGUGACGACACGUCAGAAUCAGAAGGGAUCUGGGCAUCUGGCACUCUGACUGACGAGGCUUGGGCAGUGAUAUCAUGCAGGCUGAAUGAAACUCUCAAAAUAUUUGGCCUGGGAGAGCUCAGUUAGGUGAGAAAAAACGGUACUAGUACAUUACGCGAAUCCUACUGUCAAGUAAUAAACAAUUGGAGUAUAUGCCCAGUGAGUUCGGUGGUCUCAUUUUGGGCACACGAUACAGAAUUACAGACAGACAGAGAGUAGGUGGUCAGUCCGAGAAGAUUUCGUGCGUGUUAGCAGGCGUGCAGCCGUGCACCGCCAUGCUGCGAUUAAAAACUAGCACUAGUUGUACUUAGCCUGUGUGGUACUAGUAAAAGGUCUGGAAUAAAAGGGCGACGGAUGCCGGCGAGGUAGGGGAGGAGAUGUCAGGGAGAGCGAGCGCCGCCGCCGGGGCCAUGGAAGAAGGGCAGGCGGGGUAUCAGAGCUCAGAAGAUGGAAGCCAUGGCAGUGGCAGUGCCAGCAACAGAUGCAACGACGACAUGAUCUCCGUGCAGUUCAUGCAGAAGGUACAGUUGCUUGCUAAUUGGAUCGAUACAAAUUUGACCCACGCUGCAGUGCAUGGGUGCGUACGUGGAAUGAACGAACGAAUGAAUUGAUGAAAUUGAAGCAGAUUAUCGCGGAGGUGCUGGGCACCUACUUCAUGAUCUUCGCGGGCUGUGGCUCCGUGGUGGUGAACCUGAGCACCAACGGCACGGUGACAUUCCCGGGCAUCUGCGCCGUGUGGGGCCUGGUCGUCAUGGUGCUUGUCUACUCCGUCGGCCACAUCUCCGGCGCGCACUUCAACCCCGCCGUCACCGUCGCCUUCGCCACGUGUGGACGCUUCCCCUGGAAGCAGGUCAGUGCAUCUGAAAUUCUGAAUGGAACCACUGCACCAGUUUCAGACUAGAACAAACAAAUCCGGCCGGCAUGCUCUAAUGCUCUGCUUCUGCGUGCAUAAUGCAGGUGCCGUCGUACGCGGUGGCCCAGGUGCUGGGAUCCACGCUGGCCAGCCUGACGCUGCGCGUGGUGUUCGGCGGUGCCACGGCGCACGAGCACUUCUUCGGGACGGCGCCGUCGGGGACGGUGGCGCAGGCGGUGGUGCUGGAGUUCGUCAUCUCCUUCUACCUCAUGUUCGUCGUCUCCGGCGUCGCCACCGACAACAGAGCGGUAACCAAGAAUUAAUCAUCACCGAUCUGAUGUGCCAGUCGUCUAGCUAGCUAGGACAGCUCGCUGUCGCUGGGCAGUGUGUGUGUGUUUGUGUGGGAAGCAGCUGACGCUUCUGCGCUCGUGUUGACGCAGAUCGGUGAACUCGCUGGGCUCGCCGUCGGCGCCACCGUGCUGCUCAACGUGCUCGUCGCCGGGUACGCACGCACGCACGCACGCAGCCGCGGGAUUGCCUCCAAAAUUCAUUCAUUAAUUAAUUCAUAAUCGAAACUCACAGAACUGAUUGAGCUGCGCCCAUGUUCUUAGCUGAGUUUUUUAUUUGGUCCGCAGGCCCAUCACAGGGGCAUCGAUGAACCCGGCGCGGACCUUGGGCCCGGCGAUCGUGGCAGGCCGGUACAGAAGCAUCUGGGUGUACAUGGUUGGGCCGGUGUGCGGGACAGUGACGGGCGCGUGGGCCUACAACUUGGUCCGCUUCACCGACAAGCCGCUGCGCGAGAUCACCAAGAGCGGCUCGUUCCUCAGGGCCACGGGCCGUACCAGCUAACAGACACUCCUCGCUGGACGCUAGCCGGCUAUUAUUAUGUUUCAAACGAGUAUGCUGCUGCUACAAGUACCCAAAGCUACGAACUACGUAUGUGGUUGGUACUUUGUUGUACUCUUAAUAUUUCAAUCUACUUUCCAAAUUUCUUGUGAGCGAAAAGGUAUCCAUAACUCAUACGUCUUGGUUAAUUUGUUAGCUUAAAUUGUUAUCUGAGGGUAAACCUGAGUUGAUUAGAUUUUCUUGUGUGGAUGAACACGGGCACUCGUACUCUCCUAGAUUUAUUCAAGGAGUAAAGAAUGCUAAUCAUUUAACGGUAGAUGGCUAUGCGGCUAUGAUAACUCACUAAUCUUGAGACGUAAUAACUCAAUCCCACGAAACUCAUGUCACCAUUGACAAAUAAGAAGUGAUGUGCGUACCACAUGUAAACCGUUGCUAUUUCCAAGUGGAAAGUAACCGGAUUUUUCUGUGACUCAUCACUUUUUUGGGUCAUAUGUUUGAAAUGCAGAAAUUUCAUAAGACUAUCAUAGGGAUCUCACAGGAAUCAAUUCAAUUUCAAAUAUAAAAAAAAUGCAGAAAUAGAAAAAAAAUCCCAUGUGCCAAACAUGCCCUAAGGUUAGCAAGGCCUUGGAUGACCAACUAUAUAUAUACCAUGACAGCCGACAAGCUUUGUUGUCUCCCGCGCGCGUCACUAUUGUUUACACCUUUGACUUGGCAUUAAUUAGCAAUGUGUUUGACUUUAACAAAUUAAGGGGGCGUUUGGAUCCUUCACCAGACCACAUCUUGCCUUGCUAGGUGGGAAUCAAUGGAUGAGAUACGUGUUUGGUAGACAAGCUAGCUGCUGAAGGGCUUAUGCAAGGACCCCCCCUCUUUUCAGGUGCCGUGGGUAGGGCACUCUCUAGCGCUUUAGUUGGGAUCUCUAGACUUUCGUGUACUUCACCUUUGGAAGCUUGUUCACAAUUUGGGCUUUGGGCUAAAGAAAAUAGCAGAUCUUUCAGCACGGGUGACAGUUUUUGUUGGGGUCUGGGAUGAGAAAAACUUAAGUUGUACGGCUCGAGAGGUUUUGUUGAAGGCUAAUGUGCAGUCAGUGCCAACCUGGUACCCGAUGUCAUGCUUAAGCUAUUGCCGGUGCUGUGUUGAAAAUUCACAUUGGCGGUGUCCAACUAUUGGUGGGAGAGCUCAUUGGACAAUCACAAGAUUCACUGGUUAAGGUGAGAGAAGCUCACACGCUCAAAGAACCAAGGUGGCAUCGGCUUUAGAGAUUUCUCCCUCUUUAAUCAAGCGAUGUUGGGGAAGCAAGUAUGGUGGUUGCUGAUGUGUCCGAAUUCGCUAUGUGCCACGAUUAUGAAGGGGAAGUAUUACCCAAAUAGUGACUUUCUCUCAGCAACCAAAAAAGCACUACUACACAUUUUUUUAACUGAGGCGAACAAAAUUGAUUAACCAAGGCGGUUUUUCUAACCACCUCAUAUCAAAGGUCACGGUUAAUCGUGAUCUUAACUGAGACGGUUGAUUGCCCACCUCGGUUAAUCAGAAAAACAACCAAAAAAAGAAAAGCCCAAUCCAUCCCUAAUUGGGCCUAGAUCUAGACCUGGCCACCCGUACACGCUUCUGCCACCACGAAUCUGUGUCGGCGUUGCUCGAAACCACUAGAUCCAUGCCGUCUUGGCUUGGAGUCGCUGGAUCCAUGCUGUGAUGGCCUCAAGCCACCAGAUCAACGUUGCCACCGUCUGGAGCAGGCGGAUCCAUGCCGCUGGCAGUUGGAGCCGGUGGAUCCUCAUCGCCACAGCCUAGAGGCGCCGUCAGAUUCUCGCAGCCAUGGCUUGGAGUUGCUGGAUCGACACCGCCACCACCUGGAGCAGCGGAUCCACGACGCCCGUGCCUGUGGCCGAUAGAUCAACACUCAUGCGCGUCGGACAUCAGGCCUAGUACGACUGAGAGGGAGUGAGUGAAAUGAGUCUGAAACCCUAACUUCCAUUUAUAUACGGGUCACACGUAUCGAGCCUCAUCUAGGCCACUUGGGCCACGAUGAUUUUUCCUGAGGUGGGCUAUUUAGGAGAACCGCCUUGGUUAAUAAGGCUCUAGAGGCGAUUUUUUUAUAAUAACUGCCUUCGUUAAUGGAUUUUGCGAGGUAGUUUUUUGUAACCGCCACGGUUAAAAAAAAUUGACCACUUUGGUUAAUUGAGGUAUUAACUGUGGCGGUUUUUAAUGCUGCCCGCCUCCAAAAACAAUUCCAAAAUGUCUUGCAAACGAUUUUUUGUAGUAGUGAAGGCGAAGCUCGACAACAUGGAGAUCGAUUCUCCAUAGGAGGGACUACUCAAAUAGAGACUGUUCAAAAAAGCUGGUCUGAGGGACAUCAAUAUAUGGGAAGAUAAUUGGUGUGAAUGUCAAAGGUGACCACCGAGAAAGUUAAUGACAUGUUUGUCCCUAGGAUGAUAAUUUGGGAUGAGGAGACCGUGCAUAGGUCUUUGAUGGCACUAGGGGCAGAGGAGGUGCUUAAGAUCAGACUAAGUAGUCUUCUGGAAGAUGACGUAUUAGCCUAGGCGUUUGAGAAGAAUGGCUAAGAAUGGCUACUACUCUAUUCAGUCAGUUAUAGCUAGAUUACUUAAAGAGGACCAAAUGGCAUCAGCAAUGGCCGCUUCUAGUGAAACAAUGACAUUGGGGGAUACUCAAUCAUGCAGGGCGAUUGGAAACAGAACGUUCCACCAACAAUUCGUGUGUUCUGGUGAUGGGUACUUCAUAAUUCCUUGCCAUCAAAUCUAAACUGAAAAGGAAACAUGUGGCUAUGGAGAGUUUCUCUGAGAUGUGUAGAGAUCCUCAUGAAUCUUUGUUCCAUGUGUUUUUCCAUUGCCCAGUCACAAAAUGUUCUAGGGUGAAGUCAAGAAGCUCUCAGGGGUGAUGGUUCCUAACCUACAUCCAUGUUCAUGGGUGACAGACGUCCUACCACAGCAGCGAUGAUAGUCUACGGGGCUUAGACAUUGUGGACCAGGAGGUAUGUUCACUGCCAUGGAUGCAAAGUCUAGGAGCAGGGCGCGACUACACAAUAUAUUCCCAACAUGCUUGAGGAGUUGGCCUUUCUAAAGGUGCCGACAAGCUAGGGAAACUGGUGAGGGUGAGGUAGUGGAAGUGCUCGAAUGAUGGAUGAGUGAAGAUCAAUAUUGAUGCAGCCUUUGACGCCAACUCUUGCACGUAGUGCUGGGUGGUGAUCCCUCAUCACUCAGGAUGGGUGGCAUCGGCAACAACAUGUUGAUUUGAUGGUAUUCCUAAUGCCCUGAUGGCCGAGGCUUUGGCGGCAAAGAUGGGGCUGGAGCUAGCCUUGGAGAUUGGCUACAACCGUGUGAUCCUUGAGGUUGAUUGUCAGGGCUUGAAGUCCCUUCUAGAGGAUCCGUCAAGCAUGAGAUCAUCUAUUGGCAGCCUCUGUUUUGAUAUCAUAAAGCUAGGCAGGAGUUUUAAUGAUUUUAGAGUUGAGUGGGUGUGUAAAGAAGCUAAUUUGGUGGGCCAUUAUUAUGCUUGUAUGGUGUCAACUACCGAUCACUCUUUCUUUUGGCUUGACUAUGUUUUAGAUUGUCUAACUAAACUAGCAGCCACUUAUUGUACUCAUGUUAUGAAUUAAUGAAAGCUCUGUGAUGCUAAAAAGGGGCUUAUGCAAUCAAGGAAAAUCCUUGCUACAACCAGAGAGUUCAGCUUGCUCAGCUACACAAGUUUAUUGGGGCUUGUGUUGGUGAGGCGAGACACACUAUUACACAAAAUUUAAUCGUGAUGGGCAAAAAGGGUUAACCGAGGUGAUUUUUGCAUCCAUCUCACAUAACACACUAUUGCACAAAAUUUAAUCGUGAUGGGCAAAAAGGGUUAACCGAGGUGAUUUUUGCAUCCGUCUCACAUAAAAGAUCACGAUUAAUUGUGGCCUUAACCAAGGUCAUUGCAAAAACCACCUUGGUUAAUCUAUCAAAGGAGGCAGGCGCCUUAUUGCAACUGCCUCGAUUAAUCAUUAAAAAAUCCACGAGCCCACCGGCAAGCCCAUUCCUGAGCCUGUAGCAAGCCUGUUCCCAGCCCACAAGCCACAUCUGGCCCCACUAUCACUGGUUGUGAUGUCGUCCGUCCAUUCGCCUCUCGUGCUAAUGUGGCCUUAGAUAUCUGGAUCGACAAGGAGAACGAGAAUGAGAGAGGGAGACAAACAGAGAGAGAGAGAGAGAGAGUAGACAAAGAGAGAGAGAUAUGCCUGUGGACGAGAUAGUGCCACCGUCAGAUCCAAUCGCUCCACAGCCAAAUCCACCACUAGGAUGAGUGCCUCCGCUAGAUCCAGCUGCUCCACCAUCGAAUCCGCCAUCGGGAGGAGCACUGUCGUUGGCCUGCUACACAAUUGCGUGGGGGCAAGAGGGUGCCGCCAGGCCAUGCGACAAGGGAGGAGGGGAGGCAGAAUGCUGGCAUACUGCCAUGCCGUGCGACGAUGGAGGGAGGGAGAGAGAGAGGGAGGGAGGAGGAGGGGAGCCACGCGCGUCGACCUGCUGCACCGCUGCAUGGGGAGGUAGAGGGUGUGCGCGUUGCCUUUCUCAGGGGGGAGAGAGUGGAGGGCGCCAUCGGCUCUGCGACUCAGAAGGGAGGGGCACGCUAUUCAGCUGUGCGACUACGGGGAUGGGGAGAUAUAAGUGUGAGUGAAAACCUAAGUACUCCUUAUACAUAUGACUAUGGUAAUAGGCUGGCUAGGCCACAGGCCUUUUUCUUAGGUGGACAUAUUAACCAAAGCGGUUAUUUUAAGGCCACCGUUAAUCGAGAUAUUUGCAUUAAAAAAACCACCUCAGUUAAUGCCUAUUAAUCGAGACAGUUUUCUAAGGCAACUGCCUCGAUUAAAAUAGGGCAAUCAUCUCGUUUAAUAGGCAUUAAUCAAAAUGCUUUCGUUACAUUGGUCGUCUGUCUCGAUUGGCAGUCCACUAGUAGAAAAGAGUACAACGCCGACGCCUCCUUUUUAUACUACAGGCGGUUGUAGUUAUCACGCGCCUGUGGUGUAAAAAGGGCGGUGUCAGAACUACGAACCAUCUGUGAAGAUACAUUUUCACAGGCGGUUUUCCUAACUGAACCGCCAGUAGAAAUCAUGCAUUUAUACAGGCGGUUGUCCUAAGGAACCGCCACUAAAAAUCAUAUUUCUACAGGCGGUUUUCCUAACAAAACUGCCUGUAGAAAUCAUGUAUUUCUACAGGCGGUUCUCCUAAGAAACCGCCUGUACAAAUCAUAUUUCUACAGGAGGUUUGUUAAGAAAGCCGCCUAUAGAAAUAAUUUGAAAUUAAAUUUUUUGAGUUUUUCAAAUGACCUUGUUUGAAAAAACUGUCAACAUGAAAGUUUUAGAUCUCGAAAAGUUAUGAAACUUUGUAGUUGAUAAUUUUUUUAUUUGACAUCAUCUUGUCGUCGAAAACUACGUUUGAAUUUCUUAAAUUUGAAAUUCAAAUUUUGUAAAUGACCUCGGAUGGAAAAACUUCUAAUAUAAAAGUUGUAGAUCUUAAAAAGUUAUGAAACUUUGUAGUUGACAACUUUUCCAUUGGAAUCCGUUUAGGACCUCAAAUAAUCAAUAUAUGCUCGGUUUGGGAUAAUAUGUGGGGAACUAAACUCUAACAUAGACACAAGUGAGUGAUAGGUGGAGUGAUAGAGGAGGCUACGAGCACCGGCCGCGAAGCACGCGAUUUUACGCGAAAAAAACGCGACUAUUAAAAUCUUUUUUAAUGGGCGGGCGAAUAGCCGAUGGUCCUUCCCUGUAUUAAAAUCUUUUUUUUUCCUAUUUUUAAAAACCGAUUUUCUAUUUUCUGGAAAAACAUUUCUACAGGCGGUUGACAUAACUGAACCGCCUGUAGAAAUGCAUUUCCACAGGCGGUUCUUAGUUACCGCCUGUAGAAAUGUCCCAUUUCUACUGGCCUCCAGCGCAGGCGGUGCUGAAAAACGCCAGUAGAAAUAGGUUUUCAGCCGCCUGUACAGUAUGCGUCUUUACCAGUGGUCGCUGGCUCGGAAGAACGACAUCGAUUAACCAAGGCAGGAAACCAAUAAGCCAACCGCCUCGGUGCCCCUAAUUAAAUUGAAAUUCUGCCGAGAAAUUUUUGUGUAGUAGUAGCAAUCCUACCACAGAUUCCAAAUAUAUAUCCUAAUUAGCCCGCCACAAGUCAGCUAGUAAGCAGCAGAAGAAUCUACGGGUCCAUGCUAGCUAGAGAACUUUGUGACUAUGAUUGCCAUUAUUGUUUGCACCUUUAGCUAUUUAUGAGCAUAUUCUUAAAGGCAUUGACAGCUCUAGCUUCAGGCCUUGUUUAGGGCCUGUUUAGAUUGGGAACGAAAAUUUUUGGAUGUCACAUCGGAUGUGUCGGAAGGAUGUCGGGAGAGGUUUUUAGAAACUAAUAAAAAAACAAAUUACAUAGCUCGUCAGGAAACUGCAAGACAAAUUUAUUAAGCAUAAUUAAUCUGUCAUUAGCAUAUGUGGGUUACUGUAGCACUUAAGGCUAAUCAUGGAGUAACUAGUCUUAAAAGAUUCGUCUCGCGAUUCUUAACUAAACUGUGUAAUUAGUUUAUUUUUUUAUCUACAUUUAAUGUUCCAUACAUGUGUCCAAAGAUUCGAUGGGAUGGAUGAAAAAAUUUUGGGCGGGGAACUAAACAGGGCCUUAGAUGCACCCAAAAAUCCAAAACUUUACAAGAUUCCCUAUCACAUCGAAUCUUACGGCACUUGUAUGGAAUAUUAAAUAUAGAUAAAAAAGAUAACUAAUUGUACAGUUUAUCUGUAAAUCACGAUACAAAUUUUUAAGCCUAAUUACUCCAUGAUUGGACAAUGUUUGUCAAAUAAAAACGAAAGUGCUACAGUGUCAAAAUCCAAACAAUUUUUGGAUCUAAACAAGGCCUCGGAAACAAAAACUUUGUAGACUGGUCGUUCUACUGUGAAGAUUCUUAUAUUGUAGUGGAGCUGCUAGCUAGUUGAGUCCUUGUGUCAUUAUUUUAGAGAUUAUUAUUUAAACACACACAUAUAUUUAAACCAAUUUAUAUAUUAUCUAAAAAAUUUCAACUUGCAUGCAAUCUUUGAGUUAGAGCUUUUCCAAAUAGGUCAUAAUAAAAUGUAUUGUUUACUCCAUAUCCAUGAUCCAUCCCUGAACAAAUCAAUUUAGAGGGUUUUCUGAAGUCAAUAUUUUUAAUAUUGAACUGAAUUUAUAGAAAAGAACACAAAUAUUUAUGACACAAAAUGAACAUAUUAUAAAAGUAUUUUAUAGUGUAUCUAAUAAUGUUCUUAGAUUGGUUUCAUAAAUCUUGUCUAUAUAAAUUUGAUAAAGCUUUAAAAAGUUCAGACUUAAAGACAACUUUAGGAAUUAUUAAUCUAUUUAGGGAUAGAAACAGGCUAUUGAUAAACUGGGACGACAUUUAAUUUAUUUCAUUUCUUGGUACGUGAUCACAGGUUAACUAAGUAUACACGAGUACCCGCAUGCACUAACUGCAAGAGUAUUAUUUCAUGCAGCUCCAUCAAAUACAGCAGGGCUAAUAUAAUUCACCAUGAUCAAUCACAAACUCAUAUCACGAGAUUCGUAGUCUUGGCACGUCUAUAGGGUUUGUCGCUUGCGUGCAUAAAUACACAUACGCCAUGUAUGUACGUAUCAUCAUCGUGCUGGUAAGCUGAGUAUACGUACGUCGUCGUCGUAGCCUGUACGUUUGUGGCACACGUAUGUACGCGUACUGGCGGCCAUUCUGCAGCUAGCUAGGACGCCGGCGGUCUCCGUGGCUGGCGGAGGUCGUGGCGGCGGCCGCCGGUGCCACCCUCGGGCUGGCAGGUGAAGAAGGCGGCGGCGACGGGGGCGCCCAGGCCGUGGUCGACGGCGAAGUUGCGGGUGCAGAAGUUGUGGCGGAGAACCGGCGGCUGGUCGACGGAGCCACGCGCCAUCUGCUGGAAGAGCACGAACACCACGCGGUGGAUCCCCGCCGGCGGCCGAGGGCUCUCGUAGCAUAUCACCUCGCGACCUGCAUGCGUGCGUGUAUGCAGCCAAUUAUUGGAAACGCAGAUCCAUGCAUACGGAAUCACCCAUGCAUUGAUUUCUCCUUUUCUUUUAACUACCGGGAUUUUCUUAGAAAUAAAAAUAUUACCUGUAUAUAAAGUUAAACCUACGUGCUUUUACAUCCAUACUUAUCAAAAUUGAGCAAGAAAAUGAAAGGAUCCAUGAAAAACUAAUAGAAUUAAAUUGAAUUGUAAUAAAAAGAUGAUAAAAGGAUGAAACAAAUAGCAAUAUGUGAAUGAUUUCUAUAUUUCUUAUAUAUUGAAAAUAGUAAUUGCGUUUAGUGGAGAUGAUAUGGAUAUAUAGCUUAUACUAAUUAAGAGGUUAAAAGUUAAUAGAAUCAGAUGACUAUUAGUGAGAGACGAUGUGGAUAAUUAGUAGGAGAUGACGUGGAUACUUUACAUGUUGAGAUAAAACUUGGAAUGAGAAUUAUAGAUAUAGAUUUAUUAAUUUACUGUAAAAGGAGAACUGUGUAUAUAUGUCAUAAUAUAAGUGCAGCCUAAAAAUACAUUUAGUCCCGAUUCCUUUUGUGUGCGGCGGCAUCCAUAUAGUGGGUUGGAGCGCUCCAAGUUUUUUUUGGAAGAUAUAUAUAUAGGAUAGACAACGUACAUUCUUGGAACCAGGUGUAUCCGUUUUUCGAACUAACACUAUGAUGGCCAUAAUUAAUUUAACAAAGUAAAUUUCAUCUUUUUAAAAUAGUUUAUUUUAUUAAAUAGUUUGAGAACUCAACAGUCUAAACAAAUUUCUCCACAAAUAAAAAAUGAUAUUUACAGAAAUCACAUAUAAGUAUAUAACUAAUGUUUAGUAUUAUAACUUUGCAGAGUGUUUGAUUAUGCAUGUUUCACAUGUUCUAGAAUUGAUGCAAGGAUCUAAUGAUAAAUGCUGAGGGUAUCGUCACUAACCUGCAGCUGCAGGGUUUCAAAACAAUUAAGGAAGUAUUCCUACAAAAACAUGUGCGAUGCAUGGUAGGUUAGAUGACAUUAAUUAGCUAUUCUCACAAUGUGCACAUGUUCAUUUAAUUAACUUCCUUAUCAGCAAAGUCAUCAUUCAUGAAUUUAAUCGUGUAUGUAUGCAUCUUUUACCAGUCUGUAUGUUAUGGUGGUGUCUAAUUUUUGUGAUAUGUACUCUGUAUGAUACUUUUACAUGCAUGUAAUAUAAAAUUGAGUUAUGAAAUGCACUAAAAAUAAAGCUACUCAAUAACUCAAACAUCUUGCCACCAGUCAGAUUAUACUGCAACGAUGUCUGUAUCUGUAUGAAAUGAUCGUACUGCAUGCAUAAGUACCAAAUUAUACUUGCGUUGACCCGAUGCAAUAUGAAAUAAGGCAGGUGCUUUGGGGCCUUCCUAUAGAUUUAGGUUUCAAUUGACCAAUAUCUAAACAAGCUCAUUAUCUACAAAUAAUUAAGACAAACUGUGUAAAGGUUUACUUACAGAGAGUAGAAGGUGCACAAAUAACGGUCGAUGAAAGCAUGAAGCCAUCUAGAAAUAAUUUGAGUGGCUGCGAUUAUACAAUAAUAGGAUACAUACUGAAUCCUAAUUAAUUUGUACAAAAUCGUAUUUGUGUAUAAUGUGAAAAGGAAGCAUUUGUAAAUUGUAUCUUUCUUCCUCAAUUCACUCAUAACAUAUCAACAAAAACAUAGUAACCACUCUAGCUAUAGGUUUAAUUUCUAAGAAGGUGCCACACUUAAAAUCUAGAGUCUAUAUAGUCUAGGACCAAAAAGAAACGGCCAUGACAUAAUUUUAUUAUUCGACGCUCUCUGAUGCUCUACUAUUGCGCAAACCUCAUCACUGACAGCUAUAACCCCCUCCCUCCACCUUGCCACCAGUUUUCAUCAUCAUUGGUGAUGAAAGGGGUGGUGAUAACCAGGGUUUAUCAACACCGAUGAAAACCUAUGGUGAUAAUACUUUAUCACAAUUGCCCCCGUGUUUCAUCCGGCGGUAAUGAGGGCACUAUGCCAGUAUCGAUGGAUUUGUUAUAUGAUUCGAUGGAUGAUGAAGACUUCAUAAUUGCCGGCUCAAUCGGAGUCUAUAUGAUCUAGCGGUGAUGAUCUAUUGGUCACCGCUACCUCAACCUUUGACCCUGUGGAUCACCGGUGCGACUUUUGGUUCGGCGAUGGUGAGCACCGCGUCACCGAUGGGCUAGAAUUCUUCCAUUUGAAUUAUAUUGGCACAUAGAAUAUUGUCUAGUUGAAGUCACAAUAAAAAGGCAUAUUGUCUAGUUUUAUGAUGUACUGAUUUUGAUUUGAGCUCUCUUACUUCCUCACUCAAAAGUGGAUCACAAUGGUAUACUCACCAUAUUCAAUAUCAGUUGUCCCAGGAAUAUCUGUCACCAACCUGCACAAUGAUAGGUGAUCAAUGAAAUCCAAAUAUAACUAUGCACGGAUUUUAGAACAUAAAUAAUAUAUACAUACUCCCUCUGCCCCCACAAUAGCUGCACAUCUUAAUUUUCGAAGUUCAACUUUAAAUCUAGUUAAAUUUAAAAUAGUAUUUUGACUCAUUUCUUAAGAUGUGCAGUUAUUUUGGAACAGAUGAAGUAGGUGUGAGGAUUAAUUAUAUAUACAUAUGGUACCAAUGCAAAUACUCCCUCAACGUCGGAUUGCUCGGGUUGGGAGCGUCAGGAUCCACCAUAACCUUUUGAUUCGAUGAUCCAAAAGCCACGCGGACGGCAUAUGUGUAUGAACGCAUCAUGAAUAAUCAGUUAAUUAGCUUAACAGGGACAUGCGCAAGCAAGGCUGUUUUUAAUUAAUUAGAACUAAUAUAAGCCAAAAGAGAUGCAUGGGAGGAACACUUUACAAGCGUGUAGGACUGCCUGAAAUCGGUGCCCCCGAUCUCGAUGCGAGGCCUUGCUGCCACCGCCGACGGCCGGAGGUCGGAGCCGUUGAUGACGCGCCGGCCGUUAUAGGAGACCCGGAGCGCCGCCGUCGCGGAGAACUGGUCCACCACGUCGCCGACCACCCGCCCCAGCACCAGGCUGUCCCUUGACGUCGUCGACAUCGAGAGCUUUUGUAGCGUAAGCAGUUUGUCGUUUGGAAGCUACCUAGCAAGCCUAUAUGGUCCAACCUUCUAUCUUGUCGCGUUAUAUAUAUAUGUAAUAAAGCAUAGAUCGAAGCCUUUUCUCGUCGUCCAUAUGUGGUGGCCAGCCCUCUCAGGUGACCUCACAUCUGUGCGUGCGUAGGGGUUAUCUUCGCCGCAGGCGCUUUUGAUGGAGACAUGAAGAAUAUUUCUGAAAGCCAAUAAUCAAGCUAUUUGCUUUUGUCCAAAAGGCUAGAUGCAUGCCUAGGCUCUCUUGUAUAAAACUUCAAAUUUGCUUCGUCAAAGUCCAUCCGGCUAGAUUUGUCCUAAUAAGUAGAGCAUUGUUUUUACCUUCGUCUAAGAAUAUUUAACAUAUGAUUGGUAUUACUAGUUUUAUUAUAAAAAAUACCUUUAUAAAAUAUAUCUUUCGACAAUAUAAAAUAACAGCUUAUUAUAUAUAUAUAUAUAUUAUUACUACUAGAUUCAUUAUGACAAAUACCUUCAUAGAAUAUAUAUAACUCUUUCAAUAAUAUGAAUGGCAACUUUGUAGAUAUUAUUAAAGUGUUGCCUUUGAGUAGAUGGUGUGGAAGUCUUGUGGUACACUUAUAAUUUUCCGUUGGAGAAUAUAUAGUAUUAUGUUAUAACUGGGACCACUUGUCAUAUAUAUAGGCAUGCACUAGAUUCAUGAUGGGCCAACUCUAGGGCAUGUUUGGAAAUAACUGAUGAUGUUCUUAGUUUGUCCUAAGUUAAACCAUUGCAACUUUUUUUUUUGACAACAACCAUUGCAACUUUGAAUGUUUAAGUUUAUAAAACACUACUAAUAUUUACAAUACCAAAUAAGUAUUAUUAGAUUUAUAUAUUAUAUUUUUUAUCAUAUUAUUCAUAUUUGGUGUCAUGAAUCUUGAUGUAUUUUUCUAUAAAUUAUUCGACUUUAAACAACUAAAUUAUCAGUUACCUUGGGGCAGGGAGAGAGCAAUGAUGAAGCAGAAAAAAUCCCUCCAAAACGGCACAUGUUAUCCCUCGUGCAUUUCUGUUUGGAUUGACUAUUUGAUAAUGUUAUCUUGCUAAUAACUCAUCAUCUGAUUUGGUUCAACUAAUGAGAUAGUUGUUAUGUAAAGGUCAAGCUAAUAAUUAGCUAGUCUAUUACUAUACCUGUUUGGAUUCAAAAGAGAUAAUUAUUACUAGCAAAUAACUACUAUCUAUAGAGAUCCAAACAGGGUCCAAGCCACACUUAAACACGAGACAAGCGGCAGCUUUGCUCCCGUGUCCUUGAUGUGCCACAAUUGCUCAGGAUAUACCAGCUAGGCAGCUACCUAUGUGCAUCUCGUUGAAAGCCCCUCAUCAUGUGGUCAUCAAUUCAUCAUACACUGUUAUGAUGACAACCGAGUGUCCAGGAUACAGUGCUAGAGACGUCAGGGCUAGCUAGAAAAGGCAGAAUCAUCUAGUGUUAUGCACCCCGGCCCAAAAUUUAAUAUUUUCCUAUGAUUUUCUAUUUUUUUGAAAAAUGAGUUUGAAUCUCAACUGUACAUACAGCGGCCAUAAGUGUGUCUUGAAAUGAACUUUGGUUGUUCCAAUUUCCAUUUUUUAUAACGUCACAUAUAUAAUAAUGUUUUUGGAUGAAUUUUCAUUUUUCAACUUUUAUGUCAUUUUCACAUAAUAUACUUCUGUGCACGUUUUUUUUACGGUUGACUUAGAACAAACCAAAAACACAAGAUAUGGUGCAUUUUUCAUGGCAUCCAUUGACAUGCAUGGUGCAUCGAUCAUAUCAUCACAUGUUUAUAUAUGUGCCGAGCGAGCUAACACUUGUACGGGCGGUGUCACGAAAGAAUUUCUGCACUUUUGAUUAAAGCCAUGCAUAUGUUACAUACAACGAACAAGUACAAAGGUGCUGACCUUUUAGAGGUCCCGGCUACCUUCGAAUCCACUUUUGUUUUGUGCUCUCAGAAUUCGUGGCGUUCGAUAAUGGUUAGCACGAUGAAUCUGCGGCCGCCAAGCAACUUGCGCCCAGAUAACAAAGGAAUGGGCGUGGCAGUGUCCGGGAAAGAUCACAAGGAUCCCAGCCGGAAUCGCCUUUGCUCGCCACACAACCUCGGCAUCGGUUGUACAGGACGAGCCUAAAAAAGCCAAGGCCAAGGUUCAUGCGCUCUGUUAAAAAAAAACACACUUUAGUUUUGUCCUAUGUCAACAACUACCUCCUUACUGAAAGAACUGCACAUCUUGCUUUUUGAAAAGUCAUUUUUGAAAAUUUAAUCAACUAUAUAAUAAAAAAUACUAUUACUUUAUGAUGCAUAAUAAUCAUCAGAUGGAGUAAAGUUUAUUAAAAUAAAUCAAUUUCUAAGCAUCAUUGGAUUAAUUAUAAAGAUAUAAUAUUUUUCAUUGUAUUUCUAUCUGAACCAAAAUAAAUCAGUUUCUAGAAUCACCAAAAUCAAAUUAACUAUUUUAAAAAUUUGACCAACUUUAUAGAAAAAGAUGACAACUUCUAUGACAUCCAAUAAGUAUAAUAUAAAAAUAUAUUUCAUAAUGUAUUUAGUGACACUGAUUUGGUGUCUUGAAUAUAAUAAUAAUAGUGGUGCUCUUCUUUAUAAAUAUGGCCGAAGUUAAAAUAGUUCGACUUAGAACGACUCUAUAAGUUGAUUUCAUUUGGGAUGGAGAGAAUAUGUCUAUAAAUGUUGAUGUUAAACUUGGAUAAACAAGAUGGUUUGAUUUAGGACAAAACUAGUAGAAUAAAAACUUUAUUUUGAGAGUAAAUUUUCUUGGAAGCUAGGGCACUCUUUCGCAAGCUACUUUUUAGUUUGGAUAAUUUUGAAAUAUAUUCCCCUCUUUGAUGUGUACAGAAAGUUUAAUCUUUAAUUAGUUUUAGUAAAUUCAGAGUCAUGCAUGCGCCGGUUACUACAUGCAAAGUUCAUGGCAUUUUUAUACAUGAAAGCAGAUAUUGCCGACCUACACCCUGAAAAGACAGGCCAUCCAACUAUUCAGGUUACAUUAUUGGCCAGAUGUGGAAUCUCAUUCACGUGGGGUAUACAAAAUAGAGAGUAUAUGCUGGUCAAAUAAUGAAUGCAGAAAUGGAAAAAGGAGAGAGAGGCAAAUAUAGUGGUUUGAUAAAUAAUGUAGGUAAAAAAAAUAGAGUAUAUAUGCUGGUCAUAUAUAUAAUGUCGGCGUUAUAUAGUUACAAUUACAUGGUUGCAUCCCACUGCCAUGACAAAUAUAUUGAGGUGACAAAUUGUCGUCAUUUUAAAAGUGCACCAUUCUAAGGUUUCAGCAUGGCUAAAGCCGAACAAAGGAACAGAAUCCUGAGCUGAAUGAAUGUACUGAGGAUAUAAAGGGAAUCAGGGGAGACAAGGAAAUGAAGGACAAUAUUGUACUGCACAGGCUGCUAGACAAGUGAAUAUUUUAGUUUUCUUAUUAUUGAAUAUAUCAGUAAUGUGACACUAAUAAUCAAUGAUAUUUUGUCAUCCCAACGUUUGCUCUUUCAGGAAGAAUUUGCUUCCAACUUUGUAUGAGAUGAGCUUGCCGGAGACAAAAGGUUUAUUAGGUAUCAGACUGGUCAGUCGAUCGAUCUGCUGUCCGCUGCGCUAUUGGAAAAUUAUUAAAGGCCGCAGGAAAUUGUUUGCAUAUAUAUAUGCGCCGUCGGCUUCACAUUAUAUUAGGGUCUGGCUGCAAAAUAAUAAAUGCUUAAUUAACUAGAAGUUCUGAGAAUAUAAUCAUUCUUUUGGCAGCGUUUUUUUUUGUAUCUUUAGAUAUGUGUAUAGUAUAUAGAUAGAAGGAAACAAAAGUGUAAGGAUACAACAAGACAUAAGAGUACAUAUGUUCGGGUGAGCUCGGAUCAGAGGAAAAGCAUAGGAAUCACAUUCGGUCGGAAAGGCUUUCUCUCAUUGUUGGGAUUGGAAUGAAGUGGCAAAGAACUUUCUAGAGGAAAGGCCUAUAUACAAAGUUGUACUCCUGGAGCAACCUGAAAAUGAGCUCUAAAGCAAAGGGAACAUUUUCCCAUAACCCUUCGCUAUCUUGCUGUGUGUGAAGCUAACCACUUUGCUAAUCAUUUUUCAUGACCAUGCCUUAGCACGUUUUUCAUUAAGAGAAAAUAGAGUUAAUAAGUUAUAAACCUACUACUGGUAAUGAGAGUUACUGAACAAUAGGGAUCCGAGAGGAACAUUAAGAUGAUAUUACACGGCACAAAACACAACAUUGAGAGUGCAAUGGGGUCAGCUAGACACCUAAGCGCUCCUCAAUCUCUACCUCCUAUACCUCCAAGACAAAGGCAUCAACUGAAACAACACCUUGAAGGUCCACCAAAGAUUGAGUCAAACUUCUCGAAAGCCGCUGAGUCCAGUCGCAUGGCGCCGGAUGCCAAACCCAACUUCACCAUGAACUUUGCUAAUCAUCCUGGUGCUGCAGUAGCUAUCUCGCUGCUCUUUUGCCACCUGCUGCAGGAGUCACACUCACAUGUAACCUGCUGCUAUGGCUACUGCCGCAGCUCCUCAAAUCUUCAAGGUCACGCAUGUUGUGAAUGGCUACAUGCUUGGACAAACAACAAUCUGUUGGAGAAUUUUAGACUUGUUGCUCACUUAGGCAUCUCCAUUGCACACAUGCGAGCGCGAAACGAAGAGAAAUGUGGAAGAGACGUCGUGUGGAAAGGAAUAAUCCACUAAUAGAGCCAGUCAUUAUAAAAUAACUGUAUCCGUGGAUGCUCCGCUAGGACGAUUCACGUGCUACUCCACGUCAACAAUUCGGAAGCAAGGCUGGUGGCCACUCGGGGUCCACUUAUCAUGGACACAAAAACAUACCAAAGGAGAAGCAGGCAGCGACCCACGGUCUCUCUCUCUCUCUCUCUCUCUCUCACACACACACACACACACACACACACAUAUAUAUAUAUAUAUAUAUAUAUAUAUAUAUAUAUAUAUAUAUAUAUAUAUAUAUAUAUAUAUAUAUAUAUAUAUAUAUAUAUAUAUAUAUAUAUACCCCUUCAUCCACCCGCACCCGAGCGACUCUGUUUCAUCUCGAGUAGCGCCCUCCUCUUCCUCAUGUCGCCCGCCCCUUCCACUCCUCUUCCUUGCGCCCCCUCUCCUCUCCACCGAGCGGUGCUCACGCCUCCCUCCCCUCUCCUUUAGAUUGCAACGCUGACAGGCAGCAGGCAGGCAUGGCGAGCUCCCUCUCCACUCUAGCCUUCCCUCUCCUCCUUCAAUGGCUUGUGCCUCUCCUCUCUCGAUGGCGCACGGGGCAAGCCCCACCAACGGUAGUGGCCCAUGGAUUAUGGCCUUAUGGGGCGGCGGUGGCUGCAUGCCCCUACUGCCUCGUCCAUCAUCGCACAAGCGGUGCAUCCGGUUGGGGUGCACCCAGGCGGAUCCAGUUGGGGCGCCACUGCCUCCCCUCCUUCUUUCCUUGUCAACGACACAACGGGCAUGGCGGCAACCUCCUCACCCACGCAGCAUUGCAACAGGCUUAGGCGGUGCCUUCCUCCCCCACGCGUCCAAAUCCGGCGGAGGCGCUCCUUCUAGUGGCUGAUUCAGUGGUACAACGGCCCGAUCCACCGGCGGUGUUCCUCCUAGUGGCACAUCUGGUGGUGCAGCAGCCCGAUCUGGCGGUGGCGCUCCUCCACAAGGCGGAUCUGGUGGUGGAUCAGCCGGAUCCUGUGGUGGCGCUCCUCCUGGUGGGGGAUCCUGUGGUGGAUCGGCCGGUCCGGCGGCAGCGCUGCAAUCCUAGAUGGGCUAGCCAAUGGGCUCAUGGAUUUUUUUUGUAUUUGUUGAUCGAUUUUAUUGAGGCGGGUGUUUCUAAGGUACCUGCCUCCAUAAAUAGAUUAACCAAGGCGGGCAAAGGCAACCGCCUCCGUUAUUCCGUCUUGAACCGUGACCUUUCAUUGGAGGCGGUUGACCUUGCCUGCCUCCAAAAAUAAAAAAAAAACAUCUGCCUCGUAAAUGUUUUAUGUAGUAGUGAAUCCAAAUAAUUUGGGGACAUAGGAACAACUUUGCAGUAAAUAGACAGAUGGAUUUGGAAGGCACAUUAUUGUCAUCUGUUAGUACAGUAUUUAUCAAGCAAUUCUCCUUUUAAUCAUGCAGGUGAACGUCACUACUACAUGCAGGUGAGCGUCUUUUAUAUAUGUAGUAGUAGUAUUCUCUCUUAAACUGUUUUAUUAAAUAUCUAGGACACACUUAUUUUGGGAUGGAGUGAGCACGACAAAAGUAAAUAAACAAACAAUAAUGAUGCAGAAAGCAUCACAACUAUCUAGGGACGAUCUCAAUCAGCAACGUAUGUGCAUGUUUUGAUUUUAUGAAGUCAGAGGCAAUGGUUUCCGACGAACUAUGCUUGGAGCAGGUGCCCGGACCAGGAACUCGAUCAGGGGCUCCAUCCAUCCAAUGGCAGGGAUGAUGCUAGAAAAAAAAUUAAGAGGGGCUGAAUAAAAGUACUACAUUGACUUAGCUAUCUAUUAUAACUUCUCAAAACAAAAAAUAAUAAUGGUUUGAAGUAGUUUUAUAUUAAAAACAUCAAUCAAGAAUGAAAUUUAUAAAAUAUAUCAUAAAAAAUAAAGGUAUUAGCCCAUCCUACCUUAUACAUAAAAAAGCACUAAGAACUCCACUGACCCACCAGUGGUAGGGGGCUAGAGCCCCCCUAGCCCCACUGCUGGCUCCAUGCAUGUCCAAACGUAUACUGGGUAGAGCAUCACAGCAGCAGGUCCUUCGGUGUCUACAGGCUCUGCUAGCCUACUAGCUGCACUUUGCCGUCGUAACCACGACGGGGCUCCGGAGACGCAAUUGUCCUCGUUGAUGUCCGUUGCCAAAUGGGCCGCCCGGCACGACACUGGCACGGGUACGAUCAGGCACGGCACGGCCAGGCAUGAGCACAAUGGGCCACUGUGCAUAGUCGUGUCGUGCCUGUUAGUGCCACCAUACUAAGGUUGGAGCCCAGGCACGGCACUACGAGGAAUGAGCACGGCACCAGGCCUUGCUAGGCACGGGCUCGAAGAACACCGGGCCGUGUCGUUCUCGGGCCGUGCUUUUUAGGGUUGUGCCCGUUCGUGCCCAUCAGGCCUGGCCCGUCCGGAAAACUUUAGUCCGACCUCACGCUAGAAAACUUCCCAUCUAAGCAUGUCGUUGUUGCUCCUUGAACUCGACGCAUGCAUGCCACAACGUGCAUGCGCGCAAUUAAUAAUACAAUCUCCGAGGAUCCAGCAAAGGCUUUGAAGAACUCUCGAGAAUACCUUUUCUGAGCAUAAGGGCGUCCUCAACAAUAUACUCCCUCCGUCGUCUCAAGAACUAGCACAGCAAUUCAUCUACCCAACCGUUAUAUGUAGAGCACACCGUACUAUCCAAACAAAUAUGAGUACUAUUUUUAGAUUUUUCUUUAGUACGUAGCAUCCUAACAUAAGGUGAGGAGUGGAGAGAGAGCCGCGUAGAGAGAGUAGGACCUCGUGCGGUGUGUCAGAUGCCCUCAGGGCAAACAAAGGCCUUGUUUAGAUACAAAAAGUUUUAGGAUUUUGACACCGUAGCAUUUUUAUUUUUAUUUGACAAACAUUGUCUAAUUAUGGAGUAACUAGGCUUAAAAGAUUCAUCUCGUUAUUUACAAGUAAACUGUACAAUUAGUUAUUUUUUUGUCUAUAUUUAAUACUUCAUACAUGUGCCGUAAGAUUCGAUGUGACGGGGAAUCUUGUAAAAUUUUGGGUGUAUCUAAACCAGGCCAAAAUGCCUAGCGAGGAACUAGCUCAUCGCUAGUGUCAACUUUUUUAGCCCUCUUUCUCUUCUACGUUAGCGAGAAUUCAACGUCAGCUAGCUCGUAUAUAGAUUGUUGGGGACACCCUAAGAUGCAGAUUGUUGUCCGCAUUUUUUUGUAAUGUCAAAGUUGUGGUAAAGUUACUGGUCUUCAUUAACGAUGCGUGGCUUCAUAGAGGCCACAUGAUCUCUAUCUCUAGAUCUAGCAAAUGAUCUCUGCCAAUAUAUGGAUGUGUGCGUCCGUUUUAUGUUUUGAAAGUCCCAUAUUUAUGAUCAUGUGUGUAGGAUGCUAUUGUUGUAUGUUAAGUUUUACUUAUCUCUUUUCGAAUAUGUGAAAGUCCCAACGGCACCUCUCGUAUUGAAAUGUGACUAGAGGUUUCCUCUCGCGCUGUGGCACUCGACCUCCUGCUACAACACUGGGCAUCAUUAAAGAUCCUUGAUGGUCAUUUGGACACAUUUGUCGGGCUCCAUUGCUAGAUCAAACUAUUGUCGGCCACGUCACCAUCAUUGACAAUGUCACCAACACCUCGUCGAAUCAGCUAGGUCACUUUGAUAGCCAUUUUUUUAAAAUCCUAUACAGAGAAAGUACUGUUUCUCUUACUUUCCACCAAGUUGGCACCCAUCUCAGCAGAGAAUUCAGGAGCCACACAUGAUAGGCACACUCGGAUAGCCAGUUGCAUGUGUGCUCUUCUCUCUGUAGCCCAUCGCAAGACUUGGCAUCUAAUCGUGGCAAAAGAUAGCUUGUCGUGAUACUCAUCAUCCCGCAACAUCUCCCCUCCCAUGGUGUGAUUAGACCAGUCUCAAUGCAUGUUUCAUGAGAGUGUCAUGCACAUUAAAUAGAGUGCCACAUAAGCAAAAUUGCUGACUUGGCAGGGUCAUUAAAUGAAAGAGUUUCAUCAGAUAAGAGAGGAGUUUCAUCCGCAUGAAACUCCUGUGGCUCGGUUACUUAGUUUAUAAUCUUGGUAACUGUGUCAUGAAACUAUGCAUUGAGACUGGCCUUAGGCGUCCCAUGUUUCAAAACAGCAGGGGAGACAAGCGGUAAGUUGCGGAAACCAAAGAGCAGGAUGCGGUGCAAUGUUUCUUCACGAUCCCUCCACUGCUGCACGUUCGGCCAUUAGCACCGGUUGGGAAGGGCCUGUUGCCCCGGUUCCCGAGCCGGUGCUGCCCUUCCGGUUUAGUCCUGGUUCGAGAACCGGGGCUAAAGCCCCCCUUUAACACCGGUUGCAGGAACCUUACCAACCGGUGUUAAAGGAUUUCUUUUUUUUGGGUUCACUUCUUCGGUUCUGUUUAUUGUUUUUAUAUAAUAAUAAUAGGUUUUUCAAUACAUAUUUUUUGCUGAUACAAUAAUAUAUUUAUAUUACACGCAUAUUAAGCAUAUAUAAAUAAAAAUUAGAGGCUUAGCUUUAUAAUUAAGCUUUGCCUAUAAUAAAAUGAAUAGACCACAUCAAAAAUUAAAUGCUGAGGUUUAACCCCGGUCCGCAAAAAGGCCGAGGUUUUUGACGAUUUUGGGCAUCGACUAAUGCCUCAUUCUGUAGUAGUGUCCGUUCUAAAAAAAAUAUAGGAAUAGUUAUAUAGUGUUAUUCUGAUCAAACUUUUCUUUACAUUUGACUAGGUUUAUAGAAAAUAUUAGUAAUACUUGUAUCUCUUACUCAAUUUUAUUAUAAAAAUAUAUUUAUUAAUUUAUCUAAUAAUACUAAUUGUCCAUUAAAAAUAUUAUCAUUUUUAUAUAUUUGGAUAAAGUUAGAGAUGUUUGACUUGUCGGAAAGUGAGAAUGGGAGUAUAUCAUUAUUUUUUAGAGUAUAUCAGACACACUGGAAACAGGUUUCAACGGAAGGCUCGUGAUGGGAGAGGGAUCUCGGCUUGAGAGGGGCGAUGUGUCAUGAAGCGGCGGCCUCUCGUGCGGAGAAACGACAGAGACUGAGAGACGCUUGGGCCUGGAAGGAGAAGAAGCCCAAGAAGCUCCUCCCUGCGGAGAAACAGCCCAUCCUGGUUAAUUUGCAAAAAGUAAGGCCCUAAGAAGCUAUGCUUUUGGCCCACUGAGAAACAGCCCAACAAAAUGUCCCAAACACGGCCCAUGUAGGCUGCAGAGGCACCCGCUGCCUGGUGUGCAGUCGAUUGUAGCCCAAGUCACCGUUUUAUUUCCAUCUUCUACUUGUUUUUUUUUUUUCAUUUUCCUGACAGCACGAGCCAAACUAACACAACAAGCGUACCCCAGUACAUAGUUUACAGCUAACUUAUCAUGCUCAACAACAAGAAAUUACAACUAGUAGAGUAGUUAUCUCUGUCUGCUUCGUCUUCUCCAAGCUGCCCUGAUCCCUCGAUCGUCUCCUACCUACAAGUAGCAUCCUAGCACUGCACUUUGCCUACGAGCUAGAUACAACGUCACCAUGGAAGUACACACCAGAAAGUUUUUGUUUUUUUGCAAAGCCUACGCCACUCCAGUACUGGAAGAAGACACACUCGAUCUCCCCUACUUGUCACGUCAACAUCUUCUCCGGCGCUUCGCCGGCGGCUGCCCAGCGGCGGUGGCGGCGUAGCAGCGGAAUGGGUUCUCCGGGGACGAGAUGUCCGGCACGGACACGGCGGCCGUGUUGGUGUCGGUGGUGGUCGUCGCGCCGUGGCGCGGGCCGCCCUGCCAGUGAAGCCCCGAGGCCGUGGGCGGGGAAGGGAGCUCCGGCACGGACCACUGGUGGAACUCUGGCACCUGUCCGAAGAAGUCUUGGGACGCGUCGGACGACGACCGGCCGGCCGGGGAGCCGUCGGUGCUCCCCAGCUUCCCGCUGUCAGCCUGCCAAUGGAAGACGGAGCACUGUCAGGUUGGAGGAUUAGCAUUGUCAGAUGUUCAGAAUUUGGCCGUGAACAGAACUUGCUCUGUAUGUGAUCAGAAACAUGUAUGUGGCUGGCAGUUGCCUAAAUUUCAGCAAGCUUACAUCACGAUUAUGCUGAAAGAUACUGAAUUUGCUGUGGAAAUUACUUGGCAAGUAAACUAUGCAGAUAAAUUUGAAACAAAUUAGCCAGUAUCCUUUCAUUCAGGCCUUGUUUAGUUGGCAAAAUUUUGGUUUUUUGGCUACUGUAGCACUUUCGUUUUUAUUUGACAAACAUUGUCCAAUCACGGAGUAACUAGGCUCAAAAGAUUCAUCUCAUAAAUUUCAGGUAAACUGUGUAAUUAGUUUUUAUUAUUAUCUUUAUUUAAUACUCCAUGCAUACGACCAAAGAUUCGAUAUGACGGGAAAUCUUGAAAAUUUUUACGAACUAAACAAGGCCUCAGACAUUCAGUGACCAUUGCGGCAUAUUGAGUACUGACCUUGGACGUGCCAUUCUCUGCGAAGCCGAGACCGGCGCUGUACUCGGAGAAGCCAAAGAACUCAUCGAGUGGCCAGUCCGGCAAGCCCCCCGCAAGGCCACCGCCACUCUGGACGGUGAACGCCGCGGCGAGAGACCGCCGGGGGCUGCGCUUCGAAGCGGGCGUUCUGGCGAGCGCCGGGUCCGCGGGCCUGGUCACCGGCGGGGCGCUGAACUGCUCGUGGACGAGCGCCCAGUCCGGCAGGCCGACGCCGGCGCCGGCGUCCGCGCCGGGCGCCCAGUCGAUGUCAUCGUCGCUGUAGAGCGGCGCCGGGCUACCGCCGCCGGCCGCUGCAGCCUUCCUGUCGGGCGGCGGGGGCGUUUGGAGGGGAUCCGAUGCCGCGGCGGCGGUGGGUGGGUUCGGGUCGUCAGCGUCUGCGGCGGCGUCGGGCUGGAGGCCGACCUGGACGCCGGUGAGGAGGAACCUCCGGUGCGCGGAGACAAAGGCGUUAGCCGUGUGCACGGCCACGUCGCAGGCCCGGCAGAGCAGCGCGCGGUCCUCCACGCAGAAGAAGUAGGCGUGGGCCUCCUGGAGAGCCGCCGGCGGCGGGAGGUAGCCGUCAGCUAGCUAGAAUUGCCGGUGGACAGAGCAGGGCAGCAAAAUAUCCUCUUUUUCUUGUACCACGUGUACGGUUCUACGUACCUGGCAUAUGUCGCAGUUGGGCGCGGAGACGUCGGCGUGCGGGAUGAGCGGGAGGCGGUGGUGCUUGCCGGCGAGGCGGUUGGCGGCGUGCACGUCGCGGUCGCAGCGCGCGCAGAGGGCGGCCUCGUCGGCGCAGCAGAGCAAGCGCGCCUCGGCCGCCUCGCAGGCGGAGCAGAGCACCUUCAUGGAGGACCUGCUGCUGCUGCGACCAUGCACCGAUUGAACUCGCAGCGGCGGAGGCGAUUGGGCUCUGCGGAGACGUGGAAGGGAAGCUUAGCGGCCUAGCGGCGGGCGGUUUUGUCGGGUGGAUGGAUGCGGAUCCGGCCGGAUGCCGCCGUCAGCGUCACGCACGCUGGGGACGGUUGGGAGGUGAGGUGCGGCGGAGGGCGGGAGGCGGGAGAUAUUAUUAUCGAGGGGGAGGGGAUGGGAUGGAUGGGCGGGAAGGCAGUCGUACGAAGGAGCGCGACGGCCGGCGGUAGAUCGGGGCGGGGAGGGGACUGAGCUGACCGGCCGGUGGGUGGAUGGAGGCGACGUCGCGCGCUCCCAUUCGCCAGGUACUGGUUUGACUCUCUGUGGUGGUGGUAACUGAACUGGGAACUGCCUGCUGGUCGGCACGCGGCGUGCCGGCGGCAUGGACAUCCACGUCGGCAGAUCUUUUAAACGUCGCCGGCUGGAGGACUCGAGGUCGAGGCCGCGAUUCCGUCCGUCCGAAAAACUACAAGAAAUAGCUUUUGAACCGCCGUUACUGGAAAUAGAGAAUUUUUUUUCAAUUUCCACUAAACGCGUGCUAUUUUUCUCUUAAUACGACAGACGCUCUCACAUGCCUCGUUUAGUGCUUCAUAUGGAUGCUCUUUUUUUUUCUUAUAGAUUUGUUUAUAAUUCAACUAACGUCAUUUUCUUAUAGAUAUAUGUAUGUAUCAUGUAAGGUGUCAUCUUAUUAGUACGGUUAAUUUAUCGACGUCACAUGCUAUUUUGUAUCUAUAUAGCUAUAUAUGCUAUAUCCACAUUUGAUUUUAUUUGGAUUUUUUAGGCAAUAUACGAUGGUCUCCGUACACAUAUGUCGUAUCAACCACCUAGACUUUGGGGUUUUUCAGAUAGCAUGGUCCCUGGCUAAAAUCAAGAAAAGGAUCGUGAAGGUGGAAAUUAAUCCAAGCUCCUAACGUACUAUUGAAGAAGUAGACUAUAUGGCAUUUGAAAGUUGUGAGCUUGACACAUCGGUAUUAUACUCCUAUAAAACUAAACUCCACUAUCUAUUUUUUUCAACAUGCAAGUUAUCGAACUAAGCAAUUUAUGUCUUGGUUGCAAAAGCUUGUGCGUAUAUAUAAUUAUAUACGUAGAAUGUGGUAGCGUAUAGGUAUACCUUCGGCAGCAUUAAAAGCUAUUGUCAAACACUAAUCUUCUCUUAAUAAAACACCGACUGAACUCUGAAGAGGCUAUAUGCCGUACCAACCGAUCGAGGAAGCGUCGAUGCGAAGCUGAGUGUGCAUGUGAUUCUCGAGCGUACGUGUUGUUGAUGCGUGCCCAAGGACGAAUGGUGGGCUACGGUGACCACACACGUCCGGGGGCCACUGGUUUAUCUAGAUAACGGUCGGUCCAAGAGAUCCUUUUAGCAAGCUACCGAGAUCCUUUUAGCAAGCGUAGCGUAGCCAGACGUACCGCUAUAGUAUCUGAUAUGAUAUGAUCUCUCGUCUUCUUAUAUAACAAUAAAUAAAGUAGUAUAUAUAGACAUAGUGCUCCCUGUUGGAACAACCUUUGUGCACUAGAUUUGCAUGAUCGAUGCUUUACAACUAGUAGUCGGCAUCAUCAUCAUCAUCAUAUAUAUACAUAGUAUGUCCCGAUCGAGAUAGGCAAUUAUUGGUUGGGGACAAGCAGGUAAAUGCUACUAUCUGAUCAGUGGCCCCUUUUUUAUUUAUUUCUUUCCAAAGGACAUAGUGGCCGCCCCUUUCUAAUUUCUUUCCAAACGACAUGGAUGUGCCACUACAAUACUACACCGGGCUUUUCGGCUGCAAAAUAUAUACAGGGGUGGGGCUAACAAUGGUCUAGGGUCCGGACUAACUGUUAGUACUAAAAAUUAUCCUUAGCCAUUUUGUCUUCUCGCUUUAGAAGGAUCAAACAACUUUGAUCUUGAUCAAUUGUAUGUACAAAAGAAAAUAAUCGUAUCAUGAUACUAAUAAAUAAGUAUCGUUGGAUGAACCAUGGGAUGUAUUUUCCUAUUGAAUUUAUUAUUUUCUACAAACUUAGUAAAAAAUUAAAAAAAAAAUUAGUUGAAAUAUAGAACUAUAUCUCUUUUUGAAACGGAUAAAAAACUAAGGGAAUAGUAGUACCGUACUACCUAAAUAUAAUCCUAAGGGAAUAGAGUCAAACUUUAAAAUCUUUCACCAAUAAUGUAACAAUUUUACUUAUUAUACUAUAAAACUUGAUUUUGUUAGAUUGUUAAUUAAAUGUACUAUCCGAUCAUAAUAAAUAUAAAUAAUAUAAUGUAAUAUAAUAUAAUAUAAAUAAAUGAUUAAAGUGUAGUUUGGAAGACAGUUUCAUGUCUAGCCGCACCUAAAAAACAGAAUGGAGGUAGUAGUAGACUAGAUACAUGUGAGUCCUAUAUAUGAAGCGUGCAAUCAAGUGUGGUCAUAUCAUUACGACGAGAUAGACAGUGAUGCUCCCACGCACGGGAACAUGGAGUUGCCAGGCCUUGUUUAGGCCUUGUUUAGAUGCAAAAUUUUUUUAGAUUUCGCUACUGUAGCAUUUUUGUUUAUUUGUGACAAAUAUUAUUCAAUCAUGGACUAACUAGGAUCAAAAGAUUCAUCUCGUGAUUUACAUGCAAACAGUGUAAUUAGUUUUUGUUUUCGUUUAUAUUUAAUAUUUCAUGCAUUUGCCGCAAGAUUCGAUGUGACAUAGAAUCUUGAAAAAAUUUUGGUUUUUGGGUGAACUAAACAAGGCCUUAGGCCUUGUUUAGGUAUACUCAAAAACCCAAAACUUUACAAGAUUCCCAUCACAUCGAAUCUUGCGGCACAUGUAUGAAGUAUUAAAUACAGAUAAAAAGAAUAACUAAUUGCACAGUUUAUCUGUAAAUCACGAGACGAAUCUUUUAAGCCUAGUUACUCCAUAAUUAGACAAUGUUUGUCAAAUAAAAAUGAAAAUGCUACAGUGUCAAAAUCCAAAAACUUUUUGCAUCUAAACAAGGCCUUAGUUCGCAAAAUUUUUUCAAGAUUCCCCGUCACAUUGAUCUUUAGUCGCAUGCAUGGAGCUUUAAAUAUAGACGAAAAUAAAAAGUAAUUUCACAGUUUACCUGUAAUUUGUGAGAUGAAUCUUUUGAGCCUAAUUACUCUAUGAUUGGACAAUAUUUGUCAAAUAAAAACGAAAGUGCUACAGUAGCCAAAAAACCAAUUUUUUUGCCAACUAAACAAGGCCUAAGUCUGGAAAGGUGCUCGCUCGUUGUUGUCAGUCCCCCAUGGCCCCAGGGCCUGCCUGCAGUGGCGGACCCAGAAUUUUUGUAGAGCCUGGGCGAAUGUUACGGUAAAUAAAGGAUAACAUGUUGGUAGUGAAUUGAUGUUGAGAUAGUGGAUCAUGAAUAGCGGGUGCUAUUGCGAAUGUUGAGUUCCAAUAUCAGCAUAUGAUAAUUACAUGUCAAUUUAAGCAUAUAUAUUAUGAAUAAUAGAUAUAAAUAAAUAUUUAAAUGUACUCAAAGAACUAAGGUUUAACAUAUUUAAAUUAAGAAAAACACAUGGUGUUCCAUAUAAAGCUUUGUUUAGAUGCUCAUGUAUCUACCUUAAUACAUAUGUGUUAGGAUAGAUUAACACACGUGGAUUAAGGUGGCUAUAUAGACAUCCAAACAAGCCCUUAGUCAUCAUAUAUUAGAUUUUAUAAAAAAAUAGAUUAUGGGAAUCAUAAAUGGUAGCAAUUUGUAGCUAGAAAAUAAACAUGCCCACUAAAAUUAAUUUUAUGUUUAAUUGCUAAAAAGGAUUUCAAUAUACAUUAUAUAAGAGGGUGUUUGGUUGGGGGUGUUAAAGUUUAACAGGUACUAUAGUAUUUUUGUUUUAUUUGUCAAUUAUUGUCUAAUCAUGGGCUAAUUAGGCUUAAAAGAUUCGUCUCGCAAAUUACUCUCUAGCUAUGUUUUUAGUUUCGUAAAUAGUCUAUAUUUAGUACUCUAUGCAUGUAUCUAAGCAUUCAAUAUGAUGAAAGUUAAAGUAUAACUCCCUAAACCAAAUAGGACCUAAAUUCAUAGCUACUUAAUUUUUUUGGAAACUAAACAAAGGGCUUUAUUUGCUAAUGUCCUGUCACCGAGCAGAGCCCGGGCAGGUGCCCAGGGUCGCCGGGCGCUGGGUCCGCCCAUGCCUGCCUGGAAAUAUCUUUUGGAGCUUACCACCUACCCGCGCGUUUGUGUGUCUGCUCCUGAAAUCAUUCUUCGUUUCGGUGAUCGACGAGUUGCCACUCGCUUCACAUAUAUAUCAUUGCAACACUCCUUUGUUCUUAAUGAAAAACAUGCUAAUAAGAUAUUCUCUCGAAACAUGUUAUUCCUAGGUAAUUAAUUCUCGCUUUCUGAAGAAAUCAAACAACUUCGAACUUGGUCAAUUGUAUAUAAAUACUCAUAUUUAUGGUAGUGCAUAAUAAGUAUUAUUAGAUAGAACCAUAAAAUUGUAUUUAAAUAAAUUAUUUUCUAUAAAUUUUAACUAAACCUAAGAUAAAAACUGACUUGGUUUAAAUAUAGAAUUCUCUUGGACGGAGGAAAGAAUGAAGGGGUAGUACGUACUAGUACUAGUACCUAGAAAAGGGCUAAUUUUGUGGAUCCUAUUAAUUAGGAUUAUGCAUGUGGGUCCUACUAUGGAGCGUGCAAUCAAGUGAUUUUGUAGCAUUUGCAGACAGACAGCAGGCAGUGAUGCUGAUGCUCCCGCGCGCGGGAACAGGGAGCUGCCGAAGACCAAAAAUGUGUGUAGUAUCCCUCCCGCAUGUCCCGGGGGCCUGCGUGGAAAUAUCUUUUUGGAGCCUGCCGCUGCCGAGAUGCCGCCGGAGACCGGCGGACUGAUGAGUGAUCAAUCGCGCUGGAUCGGACGAUGCACACGCACACGCAUAGCGCAUGCAAUGCAAUGUAUUAUUUAUGAGUCGAUCUAUUCGUUGAUCUGAAAAACUAUAGCUAAAAAUACUGUUUGCCUGCCAGCAGGCGAGGCCCAGCAAGAUUGCUAGAAAUGUGGAAACGGCAAUCAUAUGCAUAUGUGGAAAUGGCAGGCAGGAGCAGGAAUGAAGCUCGCCGAUCAAGCACGAAGCAUCAUCCCAGGCCGGCCGGCCGGCCGGCCAGUAGCUAGGCCGUCGCCGUCCCGCCGAUGCCGACGGUAAGAAUUGAAGCUAGGGGAGCGGAACGUACGACCGGAGGAUGCAGCUUGAGCUUGUGUUGUAGCGCUUGCGCUAAGCUAGCUGCCGGGAUCCGAUUCCGAUCUGACUCAUGCAUGGUAUGGAUCCAUCGAUGAUGCAUCCGGGCCGGCCUGGGGAUCGGAUGUGUCCAGCAAGGCGCGCGGUCGUCGACGUCGACGGCGACGCCUUAUGGCUUGGGAGAUAAGAUAAGCCGACCUCUGACGUGCGGGUCCGGCCGCUGCGCGCGCGUAGGUAUAUACGUCACCCCUGACGAGUGCCUCGCGUAAGCUAUUCAUUCAUACACAUACGUAUCUUCCGUACCAUAGUUAUUUGCUCUUGCUCUUGGCGACCACAAUCAGUCUGAUGUUCGGAUCCGCCACUGAAUUUUGUCUUGUUUAGUACCCAAAAAAAUUUAUAAAAAAAAUUUAUAUUCUCCAUUACAUCAAAUCUUACGGCAUAUGCAUUGAGUAAUAAAUAUAGAUAAAAAUAAUAACUAAUUACACAGUGCAUGAUUGAAUAAUAUUUAUCAAAUACAAACGAAAAUGCACUGCUACAGUUUUUUGGGAUUCGGCUAGUGUAGCGUUUUUAUUUGUAUUUGGUAAUUAUUGAAUUAGGCAAACUGUAUAAUUAGUUAUUCUUUUUUACCUAUAUUUAAUGCUCUAUGUAUAUAUGUACCGUAAGAAUCGAUGUGAUGAAGAAUAUUGAAAAGUUUUUAGAUUUUGAGUGAAACUAAACAAGGCCUGAAUAAUAUGACCACAAACCACCUCCACUUGGCAGCUGGGUUCUACACUUGUAAGUACUACCAUCAAGUAGUUAGCCAGUAGCUUGUUCUCGUUUUCACCAUUUAUGUUUUUUUAUAUUAUAUUCUCUCCAUCUCAAAUUAUAAGUAAUUCCAAGAAUCUUAAAGGCUCAAAGUCUCUCAAGUUUAACCAAAAUUAUAGAAAAAAUUACAAUAAUUUAUGACAUCAAAUAGAUAUACUAUGAAAAUAUAAUUAUUGAAGAACCUAAUAAUACUUAGUUGGUAUCAUACAUAUUGUUAUCUUAUUAUAUAAAUUUGGUCAACUUGAGAUGAUUUAACUUUAUAAGAUUAUUAAAAUAACUUAUAAUUUGAGAUAAAAGGAGUAUAUAUGAUGGGGUAACACCACUGAUAACCUCUCCAAUUUGCCUCGGUUUGGUUUCGUGUGAUAACCUCUCUAAUAUAGACUAUGCAAAACAGUGAGUACACUUGUAGCACUACCAUCAAUAGUAUUAGCAUUGUUGAUCAGUAGUUGUAAUUGAGCUUUUCUGGUUCGUGAUCACCUUUUCAAGAUAUUUUCGGGAACGGAAUUAAUUGUGCCCCGUCACCCUUGUCUAGCGUCCAUUAAUGUGACGCGAACCCUGGUGGGCAGCAGUUCAGCCCUGAAAGCUCCUCACUGUCAGCUGUCGGAAAAUCGUUGCUUUGCUUGGAUCAGUUAUGGGCCGGCGCCAGCAGCCCAAACACAAUGCAAGGAACAACAACUCACUGUUUUGGGCCUUGUAUAUACUGCAGCUUGGAGCCAACAUUCUUCUGCAUUGGCGGACACAAAUUAACAAAUAAUAAACUGCUCUCGUUAUCAGCCGGCGGAUCUCGAGAACUAAUUAAUCUUGAAUAGCAGCGAAUCCAGUAAGGAGCGGGCCGUGACAGAUUCAGUCAUUCAAUUCAACGAUGGUUUAGUUAUGUACUGCUAGCCAUUUUUUGCUUUCAAAAAGCAAAUAAUUGGCGACGUGUAAUUAUAAACUAACAAUAAUUAUUAUCUAUGCCACACGUGGAUUAUAUAUAUUCUUUAUUGUUUAGCCUGCAAACACACACAUGCACGUCUUGGAGCCUAGUGCUAGUGACGAUCGAGCUGAGCUAGCAGGAUCGAUCGUACAUGGAUACACAUAAGAAACUGAUAAUACUGGCUAGUGGAUUCGGUCCAACGAGACGAUUAUUUAUAUUAAUUAAUUUGAACAUUACACAUUAUUUUUAUUUACUACUACACAUAAUAUAAAUAAUUCAAAAAAAAUUAUUUUUUAUAUUAAUUAUAAGUCGUUUUGAUUUUUUUAGUAUACCCAUUUUAUUAUGUAUCUAGAUAUAAUAAUAAUAAUAAUAAUAAUAAUAAUAAUAAUAUGUUUAAAUAUAUGAACGAAUAAAAAAAUCAAAACAAUUUAAAAAGGGAGAGUAGUGCUCCAUGUAUCAAUGCGAUGCAUGCAUUUAAUUUGUUUAUUAGCAAAUCGUCCUAACAGUGCGCGUGCCGCCUGUACUUACGAGCAUAUAUUGUGUACUACCUGUGCCAACAUGAAUCCAUCUGUCCUCCGACACGCUAUUUCCGGUCAUGAAUCAUUAUAUGGCCGGUCGUUGGCGUCGCCUGCAUGCCUCUCUUCUAAUCUAAUCUAGGUCUUGUUUAAUUCACGAAAAUUUUUGGAUUCAACUACUAUAGUACUUUCAUUUGUACGUAUUUAGCAAUUAUUGUUUAACUAUGGACUAAAACUUACCUCAAAAAAAUUCGAUUCGCAAAUAAAGUUAAAUGGUAUAAUUAAUUAUAUUUUUUAUCUAUAUUUAAUGCUCUAUGCAUACGUCCAAAAGAUUUGAUAUGAUAGAAAAUUUUUAGGAACUAAACAAAGCCCUAUUAUAAUGAUCCACCACGUACACCUAGCUAGCUUUCGGAUAAUUUUUGUGCAUAGCUACAUGAACAAACCGAAGGUACAUAUAUACGUAUAUACAUGCUAUACACUAGACUAGCUAGAAACGACCAUGUCCUGCGCGUUUGCAAUCACGACGUACAGAUGGUGUGUGGAUGGAUCAUUGCACGAAAGAUAGUACGCCUAGUGAGGUUUGCUUUUUAUAAGAUGUAUAGACCAUAUUCAUAUGAUAUACUAUAGAUUAGAAGUUUAAUCUCAUAGUUAAGUGAAUCGGUUUCAAAUGCGUACGUACGUGCUUGAUCCAGACACUUUGUCAGGCCAUGCGCAUGCAAUAUUUCUAACCAAUUAUCAGCACCACUAGAUCAAGCCAAUCAUUUAUUUAAAGAGGGAUGUAUUAUCACUUAUGAUAUGCUCAUAUUUUAGUCCAAUUUCACCCUCUUAGAUGUUUGAGCAAUACAGCAAACCUGCUACGUACGUACCAUUAAAAGGGACGACAGGUAUAUAUAUGGGCGUAACAAGCAAAUUCUAAAAAAGUUAUUUCAACAAGGUUGUAGGAAGACUCUCCUGUGAAAUUAUAUAUCUAUUAUCUUGUUGUUCAGUUCCGGAUGACGGUUGAGCUCUUACUUUUUUUUAACCUUUUCUAACGAUUUGAUAGCCAUUAUUAGAUGUUUGAAUUUUUACACAAUCCUCAAUGUGUAUCUUUGACCAUUAUAUUUUUGUAGCUAUAGCUUUAAAUCAUUCAAAUUUUUAAUAUUUGCAAGUAUAUAUAUGUUCGGAUAUAAACCUAUACAUAUAACUUUGAUGUUUCCAAUCUAAAUAGUUGAGAAGUUAUUAAUGUUUCUGGUUUUGAGGCGUCACCAAAUCUUGUACUAAACUUGUUUUUGUGACUAGAGGGAGUAUAUGCUUUUCAUUUGGCUUUGUAACCUGAUACUGUAGUUCCAUAUAUGUUAACACAAGAAAUAAAGUACUCUCCUCAGAAUUACAUUGAAAUUCUAAGCCUUGUUUGAAGUGUGCGGGUAUUUCACAGGAUGAUGCAGUUCAAAUUCACGGGAAAAACACGAUAAAGAAAAAAAAAACUGUCUCGUGUUCCAAACAAUAUUCCAAAUGAUCGAGGCAAGCACUAAAUUUGAAUAUUAUUCCCUAAAUAUUUAGUCAGAAUUAAUUAAACCCUUUUUUUAUGGCACGGAAUCCAUAUAUAGAUGGAGUACAAAAACGAUACCAAAAAGCAGAAGUUGGCUACGCGGCGAAACACACAACUAACUCACCACAUUGUUCAAACCUGUAUCAAGGGCCAAUAUAUAAUAUCCACUCCAAAGGCGGGCCAAACCGCCGCCAUGCACGACAUAAAAUCGUAGAGGACGUUGGCAUCCGCUAAGCUAAUUGCGUGCAAAUGGUUAUCAACAAAAGACGUACUCCAGUCGUCGCAGCUCUCCAUUCUCGGAAUUAUUAGGGACCACACACCAUACCGAUCGAGAAGGCCAUGCAUGCCACACCGUGCGUGACCCGUCGUUGUAGUGCCGCUGUAGCAUGCACCACACCCUCGAUCAGCCUCAUAUAUAUCAAUAUAAUGGGAUGCAUACAUGAUUCGACUAUGAAAACACAAGUUUCGUCGAGAAGCCACGACUAUAUAUAUUUUACGUACACGGCAUCAUAAUUUGCGUGUCGUCACGUAUAUCUCGUGCUAACAUACCAUACAGUACAAAGUUUAUAUGAUACAGUAUAUAUAUAUAUAUAGUUGCAGAUUUGCAUAUAUUGCAGUAAGAAACUGUACAUAUAUGUGACCGUGUAACACCAAAAAUUUUAUUUAUUUCAAAUAGAUGAAUUAAAUUUAAAUGAAUUUAUUUUGUGAGCAUUUUCAAUAUAGGAAAAUAAAUAAAUUUGGAGAAAUUAAAAUUUAAUGUGAGCUUAGAGAAACAUUUAUGUUGCAUUCAUGCUGGAGCAUUUCUUUUGUGAUGAUUGUUUUAAAAACCAAAAUAUCUUGCUCAAGAAAAUAUUUGAAGAAAAGAAAUUCAUUUGGAAAUUGUGUAUAAAAAAAAAAGAAAAUCCUUUCCCUCUCUCCCCCUUCCUCUUUUCGGCCUGGUAGCCCAGCAACCCACCCCGCGCGCCCCAUCUCCUUCCUGGGCCGCGGCCCAGCCGGCCUUCCCCCUUCCCCUCUCUCUUCCCCCGCUGACAGGCCGGGCCCGCCUGUCAGCUCUCUCUUCCCCAACCGUCGCCCCCGCUCUUCUCUCUCUCGGUUGGAACCGCCCCGGACCGAAGCCCCCGCGCCCACGAUCCCCUUUCCCCCCCGCGCUUCGGUCAUUUGAAGAGCCCCGCGUGCGAGCCGCCUCUCUUCUCCUCAUUUUCCCCUCUCUCCCCGGCUCUGCUCUCGCCCUGAGCGCGCAAGAACUCGCCAAAAACUCCAGUGAACCGCCGCCGCGACCUCCGCGCGAAGUCCGCCGUCCGAGCCGUUUUCGCCCUCCUUCUUCGCGUCGGUGAGCGCGCCUCGUCCUCCUCUACCUUUUCGGCUUUCUUCCGAGCGUCGCGGUGCUCUCUAGGGCCGAUUUCCGCGAGCUCCGGCGAGCUCCAUGGCCGCCGGCCAUGGAGCGGGCCGCGCAGGCUCUCCCCGGCCACGCCAAGGCCGAGAUUGAGUUCCCCUUGCCCUCCUCUCUCUCCCGGUAGUUUCGGUUCGCAAAACCACGCCCCGUAGCACCCUGUCGGAUUUCUCCGGCGACCUCCUCACCGCGGCAAUGGCGGCGCCGCCGCCGUCCCCUCCCCCUCCGGCGGCCGGCCCCCUCCUCUCCCCUUUCCCCCCUCCCGAGGAUCUAAUCCUGGCCGUCCAUUUCAAAUCGGACGGCCAGAGACGCCCAAUACCCCUUCGGGGGAAAAAUAGCUAAAGAGCCCCCCCUAAAACUAUGUUUUGCCCUGCAGUCCUCGGCCAGAGAAAUUCCAGAAUUCCUUUAUUUAUUUAAAAUUCGUUUAAAUAUGCUUUAUUUACAGAUUUGCCACUGCAGUGUUUUGGCCAUAAAAUAUUCGUUAUAGCUCCGAUUUGACCCGUUCGAAUUGCGUUAGGUUCAUAAUUAAAUUCUCUACAUGUUAAUACCACUGUUUCUGUAGUUUGCAACUUUUUAUUUUCAGGGUUAGGUUUAAUUAAUUAAUUGUCUAUAGGAAAUCGCCGGAAAGUCGUAACUUGGUCGUUUUAGCUCCGAUUUUCGUGAUCUUCGAAUCGAUGUGAUCGUAGCGAAUCGUAGGUUCUGUUUUUAAGUAUUUUAUUUCAUUUUUUGAUCUGUUGGUGUACUGUUCUAAUUAAAUGAUUGUUUGCUUGUAUGAAUGAACCUGGAUGCGUGUUGUUGUGUGGUACCGAUCGAGCGCAGACGGUGACGUGUCCGUGGGUGAUCCAUUUUACUUCGAGGAGCAGCAGGACCAGCAGCAGUUCCCCUUCACCGAAGGCAAGUAUAACAUGGGUUUCCCUUGUACGCCUAUUCACUUAAUUAAUUACGCAUCUGCAUGUGUCUAAUUUGGUAACCCUAAGGACACCCUAGCUACCUGACUAUAUAUUGUGACACCUAUGGGUAGAUUGCAUAUGGGUAGCUUUGCUAGUGCUUUAAUUAAUUGAGACUUUAUUAUCACUCUGACUUUAAUGAAUAUGAUGAUAAAUGUUGGGAAAAAGGGCUAUGGUGCAAUUGACUUCGGUCGGGUUGACCUAGACCCUCCGUAAGGACUUCUCUGUAAGCGACAAUCCGGGACUUACAGUGCAACCGUGAUGGUUAUAUGGCUCUAACUUUAGCUCAGUAAUAGGAUCUCAUCUAGCUGGUUAGAGGUUACCCGAAAGGGCGCAAGAGGGGCUUGCCACUUUGGGUAUAGAACUGCUUCUGUUCCUAUGUGUAUAGCCGUGAUGGAAAUGUGCCAUAGGAAAGGGGUUCUCUAUAUCUGCCUACCGAGGAAACCUCGCGGCCCUAACUGGUUAGACGUGGCCUAUGGAAGGCUUCAUAGUGUUCCCUGCCCGUUCAUCUUGGCAGUGUUAGUGGGUCUUGCAAACCCCGGGCAUAUGGGUAACACGACUUACGGGAAAAGUGCACACCUCUGCGCAGAGUUUGAUCAAACUGGUAUACUAGCCGUGCUCUCGGACAUGAGCGGCCUUGGACCCUUACGGAAUAGUUGGGUGUGGAAGGUUAUGGGAAAUAACUUGUGAAAAUCUGACGCAUUGAUCGUGAUGAUUAUUGUGGUUUAACCGUGAUGGUGAUGGUGUUAGCCGUGAAGGUUGACGGUGUUAUUAUCAUGUACUCAUUUGGGCUAAUCGGGUGUUUAAGCAUAAUUGAUGAUUAAAUAGGAUUAAAACAUUGACCAAUUAAAAUGCUAACUGCAGUAGCCAGUGUCUGACCUUUUUGAGCCGCAUAAAUUCCUAUGUUAUGCUUGCGGAGUACGAGAUGUACUCACGCUUGUCUUUUUAUUUGUUUUGGACAAAAAUCCCGAAUGGGUAACAGAUGACAGCUAUUACGAGGAAUUUCCGGAGGACUUCUAGGUUGGCGAUCCCCCAGUCGGUCGUCCCUGUGUUGGAGUUAUCAUAUCAUAGCUAGUUAUGAGUUAUAUUUUCCGUUUGUCGCAGACUUUGACAUAUUUGUGUUGUAAUAUCGUUAUGUAAGACACUUGUGAUGAUACAUUUGUAAUUUGUCGACUUGUGUGCGCGACUAUUCCUGGAGCGCACAUGAGAUUAUUGUACUCAAAUUUAUCCUUAAAUUUGGGUGUGACAGACCGGACGCCUAAAUAUAUAAUCACUCUGGCCUGACAACGCAUGCUACGAAACAGAAAUCCAAGCUGUCUUUCUCUGUUUAGGGCCUUGUUUAGUUUUCAAAUUUUUUUGCUUUUGGUUACUGUAGCAUUUCAUUUUUAUUUGGUAAAUAUUGUCAAAUUAUGGACUAACUAGACUUAAAAAAAUUAUCUCGCGAUUUACAGGCAAACUGUACAAUUAGUUUUUUUGUCUAUAUUUAAUGCUUCAUGCAUGUGCCGUAAAAUUUAAUGCGAUGGAAAAUCUUAAAAAGUUUUUGGUUUAGUCCAGACAUUCGAUCGGUAUGUAAGUUCACACACUGCACUAGUAUUAGUUUUUAACAAAGCAGCACUAGUAGUUGAGUAGGCCAUGCAUGCAUGCAUGCAGCUUUGUGACUUCGUCCUCGCAGAGUGGAAUUGCAUGCAUGUUCAGUACGUCUGCAAUAAGAGUAACUACAAUACCGUUUUUUUAUAAAAAAAACAAAGAAAAACGUGGAAACAACAGCUUAAAAGUGCCAAAUUAAAUUAUUUUCAAUUGUUUCCAAUCCACAUGGACGUACGUACACAUAUUCAUUGGUUCCUUAUGGAACAUGUUGUAGUACCUAGCCUAUAAUCGCCUGUGUACGUGUCAGCGCAAAUUUUAUCGACCGCCUUCUCGAGGCAAUAUAUACAUGUGCCUUGGCAGCAGAAUACUCUUAUUACCAGUACAAGACACUAGGCCCUGUUUGUAUCUCCUACUAAAUUUUAACUAGCUAAAUUUUAGUCACUUCGCUAAACUUCUAAACACAGUGACUAAAAAAAAAUAAAAUAGUUUAGUCUCACUAGUCAUUUAAGAGUAACUAAAAUAGUUUUAACUGACUAAAACUUAGCAAGGAACCAAACAGCCCCUAAAGCGAGUUUCUGAAACGAUGGGUUUUGAUUUUGGCAAAAUCAUAUCGUGACUCAGAACAAAAUCAUGCUACGAAGUUGCCGCCGGAUGAAGAUCACGCAUGUAGAAACUUCAAGACAAACAUAUUUGAGCCAGUCUUAUCAUAUACUCUCUCUGUCUAAAAAUAAAUAUACAUCUCGUUUCUUAAAAAGUCAAAAUUUGACAAAAUAUAAGAAAGAGUAUCAACAUUUAAAUUUUUAAAUAAGUUUAUUAUAAAACAUAAAUAUUAAUAUAUUUUUAUAUAAAUCUAGUCAUGAUUCGACUUGUCAAUACAUGAGAUAUGCAUUUAUUUUGUAACAGAGGGGGUAUACCGGAAUGUCCAUAUACUGAGUAGUGUGGUAGUAAUUCAAAGUAUUAUAACUUCCUUCGUUCCAUAAAAAGGUCACUAUGAGAUUUGUGUUGGGCAAACUUUAUCAAAUUUAACUAGAUUUUUCAAAAAUACUAACAACAGUUGUAUCUCUAAAUAAGUUUGUCAUUAAAAUAUAUUUAAGAUUUAUCUAAUAAUACUAAUUAUGUGUCAUAAAUAUUAAUAAUUUUUUAUAUGUAUUUGGUUUAUUCUGAAAAUUUUUUACCUUUUAAGGAGUGAGAAUAACACUUUUUAUAAAGAGUGAGUACAGAUAUAUACAAUUUAGACUCACCUCUGCAGUCUGUACAGUAAUGCGAUAUACUCUGCUGGGUCAUCUCUGCAGUGGCUUUCUUUGCUAGUGAUCGAUGAUCCAUCUCCCAAUGGUAAUUAUUAGGUAGUAGGGACAUGAGACACCACCAGCUGAAGCCAUUAGCUUUCUAUGAUACCUGCUGUUUGGAGUUGGGGUCAAGCAUCAGGUCAUGCAGUGCAGGAGGAGCCAUCAAAUCCAAUAAUCCAAGGCAAUGCACCCUACAGUACUCUUACUAGGUAUCCACUUUAUCUCUAAAUAUCUGUUAUAUUCGUUUCUCGAGAAACUUGAUUAAAUAUAUAUUAAAAAAUAUUAAUAUAUAUAUAUAUAUAUAAUUAGUAUCCUUAAAAAAUGAAUCUAAGUUUUAAACAAAUUUAUUUAAAUAUAUAAAUAUUAUACAUAUUUUAUUAUAAAUCAAAGCCUUGUUUAUUUUAUCCCAAAAUUUCAAAAAUUUUCAAAAUUCUUCAUCACACUGAAUCUUGCGGCAUAUGCAUGGAACAUUAAAUCUACAUAAAAAAAAUAAAUAAUUGCAUAGUUUGCAUGUAGUUUUACGAAACAAAUCUUUUAAGCCUAGUUAAUUCAUAGUUGAACAAUGAUUACUAAAUACAAACAAACAAAAUCUAAAAAAUUUCUUGAUUUAAAUCGGACCAAGUAAACUUUUGACACACACGUGACACGUAGGGAGGGAGCAGUAGCAGUUCACGCUUCACAGUAGUACAAAGGUGGUGCCUGCCACAGCAGCUACUACAGUGCUUGUGUGGGCUGGGCUGUGUGACCUUUUGCUGCAGUACUCCGUAGGUGGGAUGGAUCAUGGACAGGAUGGCCAUCUGCCCUGCCCUGCCCUGCCCUGCCCCAGCUAGCUGAUUGAUUGAAGGUGAUGGGAAAGUUAGAGGGAGCCUGGGAUUCUCCAAUCCCCUUCCCUGCAAAGUGGUAAACGCCUUUUGGUGUGGGUGCGCAGGGGCAGCGGGCUCACCGGGCCAGGGCCCAAGGCCCAUCUGGGCCGACAUGGGCAUGGACGCAUGCAUGCAUGGUCCGGGCGAUGGCAUCGCUGUGUUUUGUUUGGUUACUUCUAUAUUACUGCUGCACAUGCACUGAUACUCAUACUGAUACUACACAUCUGAUCUCUUCUUCUGAAUUUAGUAGUACAGUGCAGUAGAUCGGUCUCUCCACCACCUUUCAGCGGCAAUGUGGAAUGUUGUAGCCUGAGAGAAAAAUUUUUUUGGCUGACAGAACAAAGGUUAUAUAUACUACUAUAGGGAAUAAAUAUACAUACUACUAUUUAUUUUCUUUGCCCACAAGUGAUAUAUAUAUAUAUAUAUAUGCAGUUAAUUAAUCUCUUGGGUCCCUAUCGCUUAGUCAGGAAGAGCUUUAAGUGUUAUAUGUUGAGUGCGUGUAUAUAUAUAUAUGAUAUAUGGAAGCGAUAUGAUUAACUUUCAGUUAAAAAUUCUACUAGUUUUUAAAUAAACAAAAAAACAUUUUCUUGUGUGCUAUCGCUACUGUAUAAUAAAAAUAGCAGGUCACAAAUAUGUUUUAGGUCUCAUGUCAACGUCUAUCAUUUGUUUUUGACCGGAGAAGAGUCAGUAUAGAGUAUUCACAUAUGGAAAAGCCUUUCAAGGUAUACUUUGCAAUUUUGACAGUUAAUUUCUCUUAAAUAAUUUAUCGGUUGCUACAAAAUCAGCAUCUUAUUAACAACUUAUGUAAAUUCUGAAUCUAUAUAUGGCUGCAUCAUCUUUUGUUCACUAAAUUAAAUUCAUACUUUUUUACUAAUUGAGUGUCAAAGUUUUGGAUGGUGACUCUUUAGAAAUCUAAUCUACAGCCUACAUUUUUUGAAUAAAGACUCUUAAAAGUGUGCCUCACUAAAUCUGAUAUAUAUUGAUAAAAUAAUAACUAGCACAAAAGAUGGAUGAUUUGGUAUAAAACAAUAUCUAAAAAAUAAGACUACAUCAAAAACCAAUUUCGUUUGUCUUCUUCUUUGAUCGGCUGCUGCCCAUGGGAACUUGAAAAUCACACUGAAGAGGCAACAAAGAAAAGAGACACUCGCAAACACCCCUGUUAUACUAGGCUUUGAAGACCACAAAAGCCACUCACCACUGAUAAUGAAUCGUAGUAAUCACUAAAAGCACAUCAGUUAGAGGAAACCCCCAACACAUGCUUACAAUCCUUCACCACAUAACAGAAGAGCAUUGGCCAAGAAACAUGAGUUUACUAUAGAACAGACAAAAAGAUGAUGUUGAAAUCGCUGCAAUCAGAGCCAACCAACUAUACUUUGCCCUAAUAAACACACGAACUGUCAAGAUAUAAAGAGAUAGAACACAUUCUCAGUGUCGGUCCUUAGCCGACGUCAGAUCGGGGUCAUCGAGGUAGUGAGAGACUAGAUAGACAUUAUUCCAGUGUGUCAUCAUCUCCACCACUUCCUGGAUGACACAAAAUCUAAACUCUAGAUGAAACAAGGACCAAAUAAAUACUAGAUGUACCCAAUGACUUUUAAGUCUUAGGACUCCCUUUUGUGCUCACUCGUCCCAAUAGAUAUCAAUAUCUAUCUCAAUCUUUUCACAAGCAUAGGCGAAUGCUAAAAAACAAGCAUAGACAGAGGCAGAAGGGAAUAGACUUACCCUAUCCCAUAAUCAGAUCUCUAGGUUUACCAAAUCCUCAUCAACCAAAUGUGCAGAGGGCUUCAAGUCUGGUCUAGAAAUCUUUUAAAUAAAAAAGAGGUGGUAGCUCCCCGCAUCAGAAUGAGUCCACUUUAACCAACAGGUGUGUGUAUUUCUUACUAUCCUAGGAAGAUAGGGACGACAAGACAAGCUUGCCUCCAUCUUUGUGGAGUAAAGUGAGGCCCAAAAUUUUUUAAGAUUACUCAUCACAUCUAAUUUUUGGAUGCAUGCAUAAAGUAUUAAAUAUAAAUAAAAAAUAACUAAUUAUACAGUUUGCCUAUAAGUUGCGACAUAGAUGUUUUGAGCCUAGUUAGUCCGUGGUUAGACAACAAUUACCAAAUACAAACGAAAGUGCGAUAUAGUAGUCAAAACUAAAAAAUUUCGUGAACUAAACAAGACCUAAAAAAGUGGAUAAGAUUUUUACAAUCUCAAAGAGAAACGAGGAACUUCCUUUGUUUACAUGCGCUAGAAGAAACAGGUCGAGAUAAAAAAAGAAAGUCAGAACUAGUUGAUUUGGUACAUUUGUUACAGAUAUUAUAUCUUUCUAAUUAAAUAUACUACAUCGAUACGACAUGAAAAAUAUUUGAGGCAGUUCUUAUAGCUCUAAUAUAAUUAAUCAACACUCGCCCGAUUCCGAUCAAGAUGGACAGUUAUUUAAAAUAUCUGCUACUGCCAGAUGUCACAUACAAAGAGGCCGAGGGAGAUCUUACUGCCUGCAGUAUCUGCAAGUGCUCCCUCAUCUCAAAAUAAGUCUUCUCAUCUCGUAUUUUGAGAAAUUAAACAAUUUGAACUUUGACAAAGUUUAUAAAAAAUAGUAUCAACAUUUACAUCUUUAAUUAGGUUUAUACUAUGAAAAUAACAUGAUUAAUUAAUGACGUUUACCUCGUAUAACAAAUAUUAAUAUUUUUUAUGUAUAUAUUUAGUUAAAAUUGAGAUUGUUUGACUCGUCUGGUGCAAGAACUGUCUUGGACAACAACUGGCAAUAUUCAGUAGUACUAUUUCACUAUGUCCGGCAUUUUGGAAAUGCAAUGCAUGCCCAAUAAUGAGAGAAGCAGCAGCGGGACGAGAGAUUCUUGUGGUGGAGCCCUACCAUUUUUCAAAUAAACUGUCACUAUGUCUCUUUGAGUGUUGUUCUGUACAACAACAAAAUAAUAUGCACAUGUUUCUUAAAGCAAGCACGUAAGACUAGCAGAUAACAAUCUAGUAUAUAUUUUUUUACUAUUUUUUCCUUCGUGUUAGAGCAUCUCCAACAACUUGGUAUUUCAACAUGCUAUCCUACCAAAUUUGCUAAAAGCAUAAAAAUCCUCCUCCAACAACUCCUUAUCUCAACUUACUAAAUUUCCCAAGUUGCUAUCCAGAGGUUUCUACUGCCGAGAUUUGUCAAGUUGCUAUCCCAAGUUGCUAUCCCGAGCGCAACUUGUUGGAGACACAUAUUCUUUUACCAAGUGAGCGGGUCCCAUCUGUCAUCCUCUAUUUUUACCAAGUGAGAAUAGCAACUUAUUGGAGACACAUUCUUUUUUCUUUUGCUAAACAAAUUAGCAACUUGCUAUAACUCAAGAUUUGACAAGUGAAUUUUACCAAGUUGUUGGAGAUGCUCUUACAUCUAAGACGUCCAUAUAGUACUCAACUUUAACCAAAAUGAUUAUGUAAUAGAAGUGAUUCUGUUGCUGAAAUUGUUCUCCAUAUAUUGUAUAUAUAAGGCCUUGUUUAGUUUGAGAAAAAUUUUGGAUUUUGCUACUGUAGCACUUUCGUUUGUUUGUGGCAAAUAUUAUCCAAUCAUAGACUAACUAGGAUCAAAAGAUUCGUCUCGCGAUUUACAGGUAAACUGCGUAAUUAGUUUUUGUUUUCGUCUAUAUUUAAUGCUUCAUGCAUGUGCCGCAAGAUUCGAUGUGAUGGGGAAUUUGAAAAUUUUUGAAAACUAAACAAAGCCUAAAUAUAGCGACCAUAUCUGGUUAAGUAGCGUAUGCAGUGCUAUCUCUGUACCAAAAUUGUUGGGAAAUGCGUUCAUGCUCUCCUCGUAAUUAAAGCUAUACCUGAGGAACCUAGCCACGCGCUGCAGUGAGCGGUUAGAGUGCUGCACACGGAAGGCUAGAUGCCGCGAGACAGUGGUUGAGAACAGUAGGUAGGAAUAAUAAAUGUCCUCUCUCCUUUUUCUUAAGCACGGUUACAUUCUCGCUUGGAAACCGACCUAAGACUAUUACAAAAAUGUCCCAGGAUAUUCCUACGUUACAGUCUACUGACUAUGGGUCACUUAAGUAAUUUCACACUACGAGCUCCUCACGAGCUUCUCGCUCGAGAUAUCAGCUUGGCGGCGCUUGCACCUUCGGUCGGCUACGGAACCUUCCGCGUGAAGGCGCCCAAGGUCCCAUGGCUCAGGCUAGCCGAAGGUCUCUCGGCUUCGCCGCGUCCUCCGACCCGUCUCCGCCCAUACUUUGUGUCACACCCAUAUUUUAAGAACAAAAUAGGAUGCAUAAAAGACUCAUAUGUGCCCCAGGAAUAGUCGCACACAUAAGUAGACAAAUCUCAAAUGUACCACUGCAGUGUUUAUUACAUAGCGGAACAUAAUAAAUCACAUAGUCUUAUACAAAAAUGAUAGCAUGAAGUAAACAACGCUCUCGACGGAAGCUUCACACAGGGACACAGUUGACUGGUUGACUCUAAACCUAGUACUCAUAACAGUAGUCCUCAUUACAAGCAUCAUCAUUAUCAUACCCUGGGGUGUUGGGAAAUUGCAAGGGUGAGCACAUAUCGUACUCAACAAGUAUAACCAGGGGUUCAUGAGGCUCAAAUAGCUGACACUGGUUUGACUGCAUUUAGCUUUUAAUGGUGGAUAGCAUAUUCAUUAUUAAAUAGCAAAUGUCAAGGUAGCAUAAAUAAUCCAUUAAUCCCAUGAUCAAGUGUAAGCAUAAUUAAUCCAUAGCAUAAACGAUAAUCAAAUGAACAUAACAACUUAAUAAGCUCAUCGUCGUCGCAGCAAGAACCCCCAAGGCCGCUCAUAACCGUGAGCACGGCUAGUAUACCAGUUUUAACACUCUGCAGAGGUUGUACAUCUUUACCCAUGAGUCAUGAUUUACCCUUUCGCCCGAGGUAGCUAAUCUCUUAACCCCCUUUCUAGGGAGGUCGGCAGGGAUCACUAUGAAGCCUUUCAAAAGUUCGUCUAACAUGUUAAGGCCGUAAGGUUUCCUUUGCGAGCAGAUAUAGAUACCCCCUUCCGAAUGGCACAAUGACGCGCAGCCUAUACACAUACAGACAGGGGCUCGCACUAUACCCGUGUCGGUUCAGCCCCUCCGCCCUUUCGGCUAACCUCUAAAAAGCUAGAAAAGGUCUUCAUACUGAGCUAAAGUCAGAGCCAUUAUAGCUCUCAUGGUUGCACUGUUGUCCCGGUGAUCACUUACAGACAAGAUCUAAAAAGUUUCUUGAAGAGUCUAGAAAUUGAUUUAUUCAUAUACGAAGGGAGUAACUUCAACUUGAUGGUGCAUUUCUAGCGCUGCCUCAAUUUUUACGUAGCUAAUUCAAAAUAUGCAUGGAUCGAUUGGGUGUAGAAAUGGCUAAAUAAUCCAAUUAAUUUUUCUAGUGAAAAUUUGUUGCAGUUUAAACAACGUAAAUAAAAUGAGCUUCUCUAUUGAAACCAUCGUCUCCCUUUGGCAACCACAUAUAUACUUCGUCGACAAAUAAUGAAAAGAAUAUUUUUAAGGUUAAUAAUGGACCACAUUGGUGAUAUUUAGAGCGACAUACUGGAAUGACCUUUGAACUCAAAGGUAUUGCAAAUGAAGGAGGCUAAGUUGUCUCCUACCAAAUGUUUUGGUUUUAAUUUAGAGAUCUUCGGAAAGCGGUGGUGGAAAUAUAUGCACGACAAGAGGAUUGGAGAUUAAGUUUUUUUCCUUAUGAUUGUGUCAGCUCUUAGUGGAGCAUUUGUAUCACUUUGUUUUGUCCCCGGGUAUCGUGUUUGGCCUCGGUUCCGAGACUUGUAACGUGUGGCUACCACACUCAUUCACCGGUUGGAUGUUGGAGGCCGGAAUACUUUUUUCCUUAAUUAAAAAAAUUAAUGGACCGCGUGUGCCUCUCGAUCUUUUUUUGAUCAUGCACAUUCUAUCUCUUUCCACCGGUACAGGACUGACUUUAGUCCCGAUCGAAAACCAGCUUUAGUACCGGGUGGCGAGCCGAGACUAAGGAGUCGGAACUAAAAGUGUCAUCUUUAGUCUCGGCUCACCGGUCCGGGACUAAAGGAGGACUUUUAGUCCUGGUUAGUAACACCAACCGGGACUAAAGGGGGCAGGCAGUGACUAAGGGUUUUUUCUUUUUCUUUUUCUUUUUAUUUUUUUAUUGAUUUUAGUUUUUAAUUGUAUAUGUUCUCCAAUUUAUUCGUAUACGCUGCUAUUGUCCGUAUACGUUGCACCUAUACGAGAGCGUCAUUAUAGCAAUCACAAAUAAAAUAUAAAACUACACAUAUAUAUUAUCCGUAUUAUAUAUAUAUAUAAACAUUACAUUUACUUUGUGCGUUAUGCUUUGUGCCUGUCCAGAAAAAGUAUAUGUUAUUCAUAUAUUGGAGUACUAUAUAAUAAGACGGUUGUCAAAGCCUCUUAGAGACGGCUAGGCCAUGCGUACACUUUGAUGUGCUAGACCUAGUGACGGGUAAAUAACCGUCUCAGAUGAUUUGUUAUAAGAGACGGGUUUUAUGAACACCCGUCUGUGAUAAUUUAGAUUACAUACGCCUACCAACCGUCUUAGUAAUGAAACAGCCAACGACGGGUAUCAUUUAUAAACCAUCUUGGGACUUGUAGAAUGGUGAUGGGUGUACCCCGUCUCAGUUGUAAAUAUAACACAGAUGUCUUUACAACCAUCUCUGGUAAUAAGGGUUACACACGGUUGGCUAAACUAACGACCAUCCUAGUAAUGAAACAACCAUCGACGGGUACGAUUAUAAACCAUCUCAAUUUUUCUAUAAAUGCGACGAGCGUACCCCCGUCUCAGUUAUACAUAUAAUACAAACGGCUACACAACCGUCUCUGGUUGAUAUUUACUUGCGACGGGGUAGCAACCCGUCUCAGAACUCUUAUUUAAAAAAUGUGUCAAAAACAAAAGACGUAUUUUCUAGACCGCUGUCUCAAAUUAGUGGAUCAACAACCGUCACACAUUAGUAGUUUAAACAAGAGUAUACAAAAAAUGUGCAGAAUUAGACAAGCACACGCAUGUAUCUAGCCCCAGCAAAAUCAAAUGAUAAGAGUUCUAGCUAGGGUUUCUACAAACACUUUAUGAAUGAUCUUCACAAGAGUUUGUAGCCGAUUUCACCACUUGCGACAUCAGGAAUGACCAGGUGGCGGGGUAAUAUCUAGUUACCCUAUCCCGAGCUCGUCCCCUCGUCGCUAGCUAGAGGCUAGGCCGGCGGGUUAGGUCUGCUCUGUAAUAGCCUUGGCCGGUGCGGACCGCACCGCUUCCUGCAGCUCCUCGCCCCCUUGUCAGCUCGGCUCCGUAGCGGUUUGCCAGCGGUCGGUCGACGCCGGUCUAGCGGGCGCGCGGCGGUGAGGCUGCGCGUGGUGUCACGCGGCGGUGAGGCUGCGCGUGGUGUCACGCGGCGGCGCGCGCUGGCAAAUUAUUAUCCUCUCGUCUUGAUGCGCGUGGAUUUUUGUCUUUUUUCAAUGGCCGCGCGCUACUAGAAAAAUAAGCCCAGCACCUUCUAUGAGACGGGCUACCAUGAAAACUGUCUCUAAAUAACGUCCGUCUCAGAUAUAUGUUCUGUUAGCGAUGGGUAACAAAAGACCCGCCCCUAAUAUACUUGAAGACACCGACGGGUAUGUAGAUCAACCGUCUCUAAAAUAUAUAAGACGGAUCUAGAUAUCGACCAUCUCAAAUAAUUAGUCAUCACAGACUGAUAUACUGUGGACUACUAAAUCGGCGACGGUGUAUUUAUUUCAAUCGUCGCAAAACGUUUUUAUGUGACGGGUCGUAAUAGUCGUCUCUGAAGCACACGUCAUCUUUGUACAGAUCUGUAGUAGUGAAUGACCAUGUCUGCACAGUGACGGCCUUGAUGACCACAGAUUCUUAACUGCAUAAGUAUUCUAAAGAGAUUUAAUUAAGAAAUAAUAGACGGAGUGUUGUGGUAAAUUAUGAAAAUCAACUCGAUCCAUGCAUGUGCAUGCAUGGUCAUUCUGUAUUAUUAGCGUUCGCGCCAUAUCACGUGAGGCAGUGCAUUGGGCACAUGAGAUCUGGAAGUAGGUGCAGCCUACGAGCGGAGAUCAAGCUAGCAAACAUUGAGUUAUUUUUAUAUUAGUACUAGCAAAGAAUGAAUAUUUAAUUUGAAAAUAAAAUUGAAGGAGGAAGAUAACGUGUGACAUGUCACACGUUUGAGGAGCACACGACCCCACUAUUCUCGUCCUCGUUUUCAUCCCCAAGCUAGCCGUCGAUCACUCCGCUGCCAGCCCUAGCCAAUCGCCAUCUCCCACUGCCCAAGCAAGGGGAACCCUAGCCGCUCUCCGUGCCACCGACCACCCUAACCACCAUAACAUGGCCGCCAUCCGGCAAACUCCCUUCUAGAGCUGCCGGCGAGUAGAUUCACUAACCCUAGCCCAGAAAUCUAAUGCCAGCGAGCUCCUGGGCCAUAAAAUCCAUAUAGCUUCACAACCUAUGAAGUAUAUAUAUUAUAAAAGUAUGACUCUCGCACUCCGCAAGAUGGAUGACUGUAACGUCCCGCCUCCACGAGGCCGGACCCGCUUAUAUCUGGCAGCUUUUCUAUGAUAUAGUCAGUCCCCAUAGACCAACACUCGUCUUUUCUGCAUACUUUGUUCUCACUCGUGCGCACCCAGGAAGUACUUUCUGGUUGGUCACCUAUCCCUAAAUUGCUUUAGGCCAAGCACGCUUAACUUUAGAGUUCUUUCGAGAUAGGUUUCCAGAAAAGAAGUUGCAACUUGUUGAUACGAGUCUCCUAUUAAUCAUAUUAAGCCCUAGACCAGGUGUUACAAUGACUAAUAGGGCUUAUGAAAAUUAAAGUGAUGACUCUCGCACACAUUUGCAGGCGUCGUAUUUGUGAUCAAUCCAAGUAUCUCAUAUCCUCGAACCACACACACAUUCUAACACUACGUAUAUUCCUAUUCUUCUUCUUUUACAUGAUGUGGUAUUAGAUUUGUAUUAAGUCAAACAUUUCUAACUUGAAUUAUUAAUUUCAAAAAAAAAAUCCAUAUAGCUUCACAACCUAUGAACUAUAUAUUAUAAAAGUAUUUUUCAUAACGUGAAUCGAAGAACAUAGACCUUAUGUUAUUAUUCUAUAAACAAAAAAAACGAGUCAAAUGUUACAGUAUUUAAUUUGGAUCAGAGUAUAAGAAUAUGUGUGUAUGUUCCGGGUACUCUAUAUAACACGUUCUACAUGCAAAAUGACACGUGUAAGCUUCGGUCAUUAUAGCUACGUGGCGGCUAUACUAUGCUUUUGAAAGUUUGACCAUCUAUAAUUUAUUUACUUGCACACUCACAAUGCAGACUCUAUCAUAUAGUCUAAGUUAUUUAUUACCUCGGACAAUGUGAACUUAGAGUCUAAAUAAGACUUGGAGUCUUGUUUUUUCUACAUCUUUCUUCAAUAAAUAUGCUGCCACAUCAGUAAAAUAUCAUAAAUAAUAUGUAAUUAAUUGUCUUAGACUCUGUGACAGAGUCUUGGGCACUCACAAUGCAGACUCUAUCAUAGAGUCUAAAGUUAUUUAUUACCUCGAACAAUGUGGACUUAGAGUCUAAAUAAGACUUUGAGUCUUAUUUUUUCUACCUUUUUCUUCAAUAAAUAUGCUGCCACAUCAACAAAAAACCAUAAAUAAUAUGUAGUUAAUGGUUUUGGACUCUGUGAUAGAGUCUUGCAUUGUGAGUGCCCUUUAUAUGCAUAGAUUUGUUCAAUGAAAGUUGCGUCACUAGACGCCAGCACCAUUGAUUGAAAACAUGCAUGAUAGUCUUCUUAUCUUAUUGUGUACUCAUAAAUAAUUUAAUUAUAGAUAUUGUAUAGUCAAAGUUAUCUUUUGAAGGCACUGACGUGAAAUAAACAAAAAGCAGGCAUACUGUACAGAGUACUCUUGUCGAUUUGGUCUUCAAAUGCAUAUGAAUUCAUUAUUAGACUCUAUAAUCACAGUUGAACAAAAAUAAAAGAUGAAAAUUUUUGGCAUAUAUCCAUAUAUGUAGUGGUAGUAGUACGUAUAUUGUACGGCAUAAAUUAAAGAAAUGUAACACCCUAAAAUUUACUUCUUUUGAAAUAUAGAUAAAAUUAUUUAAUUUUGUAUUUUUGUGCUCAUGAAAAUAUAGGAAAAAUAAUAUUUUUCAUUAAAUUAAAAUUUAUCAUAAGGCUUAGCAAUAUUAUUAUGCAUACAUGCUGGUGCAUAUGUUUUGAUGUGAUGCUUGUUGCUCCUUUAUGUGUUGAUAGUAAGAAAAAUAUUUAAAAUACGUUUAGUAGAUCGAUCUUCCUUAUUCGGCACGUAUUUAUCUUUUAUCCAACCAAAUUCCUUGUUUCUAAACUCAAAUUUUUAUUAGGACCUUCCUAAAAUAUUUUCUUUGUCACUCAAAGCACUUCUUUUAGUUUCUCGUCUAUCAAGCACUCUCUACAAAUUUUUGGGAAUUUUUUUCAGCUUCUGUUCUCACUUUUCUGUGAGCAUGAUCUAAUUUUUAGAUGCUCCAAACAAUCUUCUCAUGAGCUCCAAAAGCUUCAUUCGGGUUCCCCAUGUUCUAUAAUAUCUCUGAGAAUUUUUCCUGAAUUUUCGAAGCUUUCGAAGUAUUUUUCAUGGCUUAAAUCAUAAUUCUGGACUUUUCUAGGAUUAUUUUAUUCGCCAAAUUAAUUAAUUUCGAAAAUAAUAAAAUCUUUCAUUUUAUCUCACGCUCAAGCCCAUGAUCUCAAUGGUCAAUGUCUUUAUUUACUAGUGGGCUUUAAUAGUUAAUUAGGCCUAUUAGUAAAGAUGAAGGUUGCAAAUCAAUUAGUACCAUAUCGCUAGUUGACGUGGAGGUGGGGAGUUUUUCUCUAUAUAUAUAUGUACCAACCUCUUAGGCAAAGCACAUCAAAGACUAUCAUAUGGUAAGCCUCUAAUUUGAGAAUUCCUAAGGUAGUAAAAUAAAAUUUAUAUUUUUUCUCUACAACGUGAUCGCCAUCGUCUCACCUAUACACGACAUCUACGAACGAACGGUCGGCUCCUCCGGCGUUGCUGUAGCUCCAAGAAAGCGUCACUGCCGGUGAACCUACUCCCUGUCCACCAACGUAAGCCCCAAUCACUUUAUCUUUCAGUUUGGAAAAUACAAACAGCUCGGUUUUAGAUUAAAAAUACGUUUUCACUAUUUACAGAAUUGCCACUGACUUUCUUUUGGCCAUAAAAUAUUCAUCUUAACUCUAUUUUGACCCAUUCAAAUUGCGUUGGAUUUGUAUUAAUGAGCUCUACAUGUUAGUAACACUGUUUUCUCAGUUUAAAACCUUUUAUUUUCGUGAGCCUAAUUAAUUAAUUAUUUUUCUAAAGGAAAUCAUAGAAAAUUCAUAACUUUUCCGUUUUAGCUCCGAUUUUCGUGAUCUUUACGUUCGUGUGAUCGCAGCGAUGUGUAGAAUCGUAGUCUUUUUGCUUUAUGUAUGUUUUCUUUGAUUGUUUGUGUGAUCGAUGAUCGAGAUUAGACGAUGAGCAAUCCUUGGUGAACCAGAGUGCUUCAGUGAUCAAGAUCAGAGCUUUGGCAACUAGCAAGAUCAGCAAGAGCAAUUGGAUUAAGGCAAGUAUAGCAUUUGGAUUUUAUUUCUGUGACCAUGAUCCUGUGACUAGAUUAAUGUUAAGUAAUAAAUGAUAAAAAUGACUUUUUAGCCACUUGAUGAUUUGUCUGUACGUGAUCACCCGGGACAACAGUGCAACCAUGAGGGCUACAAUGGCUCUGGCUUUAGCUCAGUAUGAAGACCUUUUCUAGCUUGUUAGAGGUUACCCGAAAGGGCGGAGGGGCUGAACCGUUUUGGGUAUAGUGUGGCCUCUGUCUGUAUGUGUAUAGGCUGCGAGUCAUUGUGCCAUCGGAAGGGGGGCUCUAUAUCUGCGCGCAAAGGAAACCUUACGGCCCUAACAUGUUAGACGAACUUUUGAAAGGCUUCAUAGUGAUCCCUGCCGACCUCCCUAGGAAGGGGGUUAAGAGAUUAGCUACCUCGGGCGAAAGGGUAAAUCACGACUCAUGGGUAAAGAUGUACAACCUCUGCAUAGUGUUAAAAACUAGUAUACUAGCCGAGCUCACGGUCAGGAGCGCCCUUGGGGACAUCUACAUUAAGGGUGAUGAUUCUUGUGUGUUAAAUAUGCUCAUUGUUUAUUGUUCAAUGCUCUACAUUAUUUAUGUCACAUUGAUCAUGAGAUUGUGGGAUCUAUACAAUCUAGUUGCUAUACUUGUGGAGUUCGACAUGGACUCACUCUUGCUAUUUCCCCCAAACCUCAGGAGAAGUUUAUGUUUGUGAUCAACCAGUCAGUUGGAUCCUGUAGAGUGAAGUUAAUACCCGAAGUUGGAGUUAUUUAUCCGCUGUUUGCUAUCAAAGGUUAUCUCUUUUAUACUAAGUACGUUAUAUAUUUAUGCAUUGUCUUUUGAUAUUACCUCUUAUUUGUAGCUAUAUGUGAGAUUUGUCUUCUAAGACUCACAUAUGGUGUAUAUCUGGUUUUGUCCUUAAAAUCGGGUAUAUAUAUCCAUAUAUGUAGUAGUAGUACGUAUAUUGUACAGCAUAAAUUAAAGAAAUAAUAAUGUUCUAACAGUAAAUAGGCAGUAGUAUAAUGUACUUAUUCUAAUGGUAUACUGUAGUACUCCCUAUUACGGUAUAUUUUUUUUGUACUGCAACUUUUAUUUCAUUUUUGCAGGAUCGCUGUGCUUGUGCCCUGGUGCAGACUGCCCGUAUUUAUUAGGUCGUACAAAUUAAGAUGCAUUCAGUAUAUGCUGCAGAUUCUUCAUUUUAGCGCAGUACAUGCGUAUGUCACUCUGAAAGGCUUCUAGUGAAGUAGGAGUAGUAGUAGUACUAGCAACUACUACAGUGUACUGCUCCUGUAAUUAAGCUGCGCUGUACAUGCACUCAUCAGCCUUAAGUUGUAUUCUGAGUUUCUGACAUGUAUGACAUAUGCUAUACAAGCUACUAUAUAUGCCUGUACGCGCGCGGCGGCCUACUGUACCAUACUAUUCCAUAUACAGUACUAGUAUGCUCUAGAAAAUACAGUACUAGUAUAUAUAUCCAGUUAUAUGAUUUGCUGCCGCUCUAGCCAAUGAUAUAUACCCCUUUCAACCCUAAAUACUAACUGUCAUCGUUAGUAUACAUGCCAUAAGGCCUUGUUCAAUUGAGGAAAAAUUUUAGUUUUGGUAACUAGGCUCAAAAGAUUCCUCUCACAAAUUAAAGACAAACUAUACAAUUAGUUAUUUCUUUUAUCCAUAUUUAAUGCUUCAUGCAUGUGUCAAAGAUUUGAUGUGACGGGGAAUCUUAAAAUUUUUUAGAAACUAAACAAAGCUAAAUUUGACUUGAUCAGUAGAAAAUAUAUGUAAUAUUUGUAUCAUCAAAAAUAAUUUUAUUAAAAACUAGAUUUAAAGAUCUUUUCAAUAACACUAAUUAUAUACCAUAAAUAUAUUAAUGCUUUUAAUAUAUAUUUAGUUUAAAAUAUUUCUCAAGAAGCAUCAAUGACAGAUAUUUACGGAUAGAGAAAGUAAGUAUAUACUACUGUGUACUGGUAGAGCUGCUUCUCGAGUAUCAUCGAUUGAGGCCUUGUUUGGUUUUCGGAACUGUAGCACUUUCGUUUUUAUUUGAUAAACAUUGUCGAAUCAUGAAGUAACUAGACUUAAAAGAUUUAUUUCAUAAUUUAUAGGUAAACUGUGUAAUUAGUUUUUAUUUUUAUCUAUAUUCCGCAAGAUUCGAUGUGACGGAGAAUCUUGAAAAGUUUUUGAUUUUUAGAGGGAACUAAACAAGGCCUUGAGUAUAUGUAUCUCGGUCAGCAGUCAGCAGGCAGCAGUGGCAUUUGCAUGGGUGCAUGGAGUGGCGCGAGCGCGCAUAAUCCCAUGGUCGCAACGCAUGCAGCUCCGAUCGCUUUCUCUGCCGGCCCCGUGCGUCGGCGCAGUGAUGCCUGCACUGCCCUGGCACUGCUGCAUGCACAGCCCCAGCCCCAGCCAGCACCCAUUUGGGGGCAGGUGGAAAUGGGUGGCAAUGGCGACGGUGGUAUUGGUGCCUGCACACAACGACGCAUACCACACUCCAUGAUUCAGAUCAGGUCAGGUCAGGUCAGGUGUCAGCCUCUACCUAUUCAUCAAUGGUCCCCGCCGGCGCGUUUUACCCGCUCCCUCGGCCUGCGCAGCGGCAGAUCUCUAUUUUUUUUGUGCUUUUAAAUAAAUACUUUACCACUCUCUCCCCCAAUGUUUCGGGACUUUUAUGACAGAUUAGUGCUCGACAAAAAUAUCCUUGUAUCACUAUGAUAGUAUGGUCUCGUCUGGCACCACUUUAGUUCAUUAGUGAAAACUAUCUUUAUCAGUGGAGAUAAAGUUGUUUUAGUGAAUCGUUUGACAAAACAGCUUUAUACAUAUAGCUCCUUAAAACAUGGUCUUAUGUAAUCCUCCAUAGAGUCCAGUAAGAUGAGGUGGACCUACUAUUUUUAGAUUCAUCCCCACCAAUUAUUUGUGAGAGCACAAUUUAAGAGAGACUUCUAAUGUGAAAUUGUUUGGUUUUAGCCCAUCUGGUAUAAAAGGGCUCCAAACAACUCUAAGAGCUGGUGAUGGAGCUAUGUCAAACGAGAUCUAAGUUUGAAAGUGAAUCAUACUAAUUAAGGAAUAAACCAAAAGAAAUGCAUUGAGCAUGCAGCCGCAAUCUCAAGCUGAUGUUGUCCGAGUGCUAAUACAUUAAAUUUUAUAGGACAUUUUUGGAUCCUAGCUAGAACAUUGAAUUUUCUUAGGAGAGAGAGAGAGAGUUGUACUAGUUCCUGUUUGCACCUUUUUUCGCCGUUCAAUACGUUAAUUCUGCUCAAGCAAGUUUAUGCUGUGAACAAAGCGAGCGUAUGCUAUGGAAACUAGUUUUGUGUGCAAACUAUGCAAACUCGAAUUAAGGCCAUAGAAAUCUAAUCCGAUGGCUGCAGAUGAUGGUGGAUCAUUUAAGCACUUAAAUCCUCCCACCAAUCCCAUACUAAUCUAAUUUUUGCAAAACACCCCAGCAGGCCACCGUCUCUGUUAGGUCCCAACUCCCGUUACGUCGCGCCGCCCCCGACUACGGAGAACGAGACGAACGAACGUGGCUGAACGCGGCAGGCAGGAUCAAGAAACGAACGAAUGUGGCUGAAUGUAGGUCCCAAGGCCAUGAACAGGACCAUGCAUGACGAUUGCACACAGUUGCAUGCACGGCGAUCAACGAUUGCAUACAGGAGCUUGCAAAAUAAACUAGUAGUAGCACAUGGACAAUAAUUAACUGCAAAUAAAUCUACGAAUUGCAUAUUUACUUCGACAAUGGUACUGAUCAAUCAAACAUUCCAAGUGUAAAAAAUCAGCCAACAACACUGUUUGGGCAAUUGCGCGCAUCAUGAUCCGCAAUUUGGUCACAUUUUCGACAUUUCCGGUCUCCAUGGUGGCAGCUGCGGUCUCCAUGAUUCGUAGGUUGGCACGCAUGGACCAGGAAGCCCUGCUCUGCCUCCUGCGUUGCCCUCCAAUGCAGCAGUGACGGUCUCCAUGGGGCGGCGGCGCUGGACACGACCGGGACGAGGGGCCGUGCACGAUUGCGAGUCCAGUCGCCGGCGACGAUAGUGUCCAUGGCAGACAGACUCUAGUCGCGACGAUCGACGAGGGGCUGGGGCGGGAUCGCGACGGAGACGAGGGGCGGCGGCAGGUUCUAUCGUGCGAGAACAGCGCAAUCUCGGCCACAAGCGAGACGGAACAGAAUGUCCACGAUGGAAAGGCGCUGGGCUGGGUGCAAAAAAAGAUUAGAUUGCAAGCGGUGGGGGGUGUUAAGUGUUAAAUUACUCCACCUUAACCUCUAGCCAUUAGAUUAGAAAAAUAUGGUCUUGAUUAGAGUUUCUAUAGUUUCCACACAAAGCUAGUUUUCAUAGCAUACGCUGUCGUGAACAAAAGGGAUAACUAUAUAUCUUGGCCGGUCCGACCGGCUUUAAAUGGCCACGUAAAUACUCCCUUCGAAUUAUAAGUUGUUUUUAGACUUUCUAGAUAAAUAGAUUUUGUUAUGCACCUAGCUAAAUAUACACUAUGUCUAGACACAUAGUGCUCAAAAACCAUACACCAAUAAAAGCCAAACCAACUUGUAAUUGACUAGGAUAGAGGACAUACUCCCUUCGUGGCUUCGUCCUAGUAUAUAAGACGUACGUAACCACUUUUUGUUCAUGGCCUUGUUUAGUUAACCCCAAAAACCAAAAACUUUUUAAGAUUCCCCAUCACAUCAAAUCUUAGGUGUAUGCAUAGAGUAUUGAAUAUUGAAAACAAAAACUAAUUGCACAGUUUGCCUGAAAAUCGCGAGACGAAUCUUUUAAGCCUAGUUACUCUAUGGUUGGACAAUAUUUGUCAAAUAAAAAUGAAAGUGCUAUAGUGUCAAAAUCCAAAAAAAUUUCGGAUCUAAACAAGGCUCAUAUCCUAUAAUAUAAGGCGUGCUCUCUCAUAGAAAUUAAUAUAGUAGUACUAGUGUUGAGAGAGAAUUAAAUGUGUUCUUGGUCUUUGAACCAGAGGUGGUUACGCCUUAUAUACCGAGAGUAAGUAUAGUAAGUCAUACUAGACACAGGUCGUUGUUGAGUUGUCCAUGUCUUAAAAUUCCUAAAAAUAAGAGAGAAUGAAGUGUCACUCGAUUCAUCGUCUGUCCUUCCUCUCUCCCGAUCCCCUACAUCGCAUAGCCUCAUCGAUCGUGUGCCAAAUCAUCACGUACACCAUGCUUACCACCAAACUGAAUGGACGAUCCCUCGUGCUCCAAAUCAUAUCUUAAAGCCCCAAAAGUCCAGAACCUUGCCUAAUAGUCACUAAUUAAAUCGCCACCUUCCAAAUCCUAGAAACCAAACCCAUUGCCACAUAUGAACAUUGACUCUCAAUUUAUGUCUCAUAUGUGAGCGCUAUUGUGUGAAAAAUGAUCCAAGAAUGUAGCGAGAUUGCUUAAUUAUUGUGUGAACAAAUUCGACCAAGUUCAUCUUAUUAGCUUCCACUAGCUAGUAAUAGCUAUGCAUGCGUUCUUUCUUUUGUAGAAACUAUGUACUAUGCAUUUUGCAUUUUCGUUGGAUGAUGAUAGGACUAAAUGUAUCUGUCGUACUUGUGUGAUCGUAUUCAACCGAUCACGACGCUCAAUGCAUGCACACAUUCAGUUCGAUGCAUGUACGAUCUAGCUCACAAAAUAACCCCAAUCACGAGCAAAUUCCCAAACAGAAAAGAUGUACGUAUGAUAUAUAUAUAUAUAUAUAUAUAUAUAUAUAUAUAUAUAUAAAUGCUCUUGUACGUGUAGUUCCCAACAGAAAAGAUGUACGUAUAUGAUAUAUAUAUCACUCGUCGUACGUACGUGUACAAUCUUUACGUAGGUACAAACACAUGGUGUGAUACCGAUAGAUACAAGAUCGUCGUCGCCUUGCGCACGAACGGUUACGUACACUGACGAAGCCACAACGACCUCGCAGAUACGAUGCAUAUAAUAAUAUAUGCCACGUCCGAACGUAAGUCGCAUCAGCAUAUUGACCGUGCCGUUGGUCGCAUCACGCGCAGUAUAUACGACUAAGAUCACUUUAUUUUUGUUAAGUCAAAAUCUUCCAGUAGUUCAUAAGUUUUAGCAGCCUCUGACGUCUAGUAAAGACAUGGAGUUCAAAUUUAAUUUCUUUGCUACUCCGAUCCAUCCAUCCGUUCCAUGGUUUGAGAUAUUUUACAUAUAUGAAAUUAGUUUAGUUAAACUCACCAUGAAAUAUAUCUAUAAAUUGUGUCAAAGUUAAAACAAGUUUAGCUUUUUUCUUACACAUUCUGAUAUACAGACUAUUCACUAGGAAACAUGUCUGUGUGUUGUACUAAAUCGCAAUACGUAUAGAAAUUGGGCUCGGUAUCAUUGCUAUAUAUAUGGACGUGAGUUGAUUUAACAUGUAUGAGUAUAUGGGUCAUGAAUCCGGUUUAUAUAUGAGAUGUUGAGAGCGUGUAACCUAAUACAUUUUGGAAUCAAACUUCGUAUCGGUCAUUGCUACAGACAAGUUGUUUUUCCAUAAUCACGGGUCAUGAGAGUUCUGGUCGAGACACGGAGCGUGCGGGUGUUUGGAAUGAUUAAUUCAAAGUUGACUAGACGUGUAUAUAUAUAUAUAUAUAUAUUAUUCUUUCCAUGUGGGCACGAUUUCUUCAACAAUGCAUGUGUAAGCAUGUCUCGACGCCAGUACGGCACACCUUCCACCAACUAAAUUGCCGCAUGAAAUAACAUAACGUUGUAGUGGGGGCAGCUAUAAUAGCGUGCUCAUAUAUACUCUCUCGACGAAACUUCCCAAAAAUUCACAGGAAAAAGCACUCAGUACGUGUCGUUUCCUCCCAUUAGUCUUCUCGAAGCCUUUUUUUUUUCAAAUCUACUACUAGUACACAAAAAAUUAGGUCUUUUUUAGCACACUAGCACGCAAAUUAGGUAAUCCAACACAGACCCGCUCAGCUAGCUGGGCCAUAUAUAUGUCUUUGCUGCAUUAAUUAGUUAAUUAUUAGUCAUAGUCAUCACAAUUUCAAAAGAGCAUGCAAAUUGUAUAAGCAGCCGGAUGAUGCCCAGAUUGUGUGCUAUUAUAUACUUUGGUUCUGAUGCUUACUCCACUGAUGAAUAAAGUAAAGCUAUCGAUGUUCAUAAUGUCUCGAGUCAACCAGAUAGCAUUCUAGAAUUUAUAACUCUACAUAUACGUACUAGUACUUCCAUCGAGAAAACGAAGCAAUUACAGCUUUAUACUCAAACUUUCUAAAUCAGUUCGACAAGAUCGUAUCAAACAAAACUUAUUAAAAAUAUAUUUCAUAACAAAUCUAGCAAAUAACUUAUUAUUUAGUAUCAUAAAUAUUGAUAUUUUAAUUAUAAACCUGGUCAGACCAAAAUGGUUAUGAAAUACGUGCACUAUACUAGCGAAAUGGGUGCCUAACAGGACUGGUUAGGUGAGGUUAAAAGAAAUUCCCGUUAUCUGUCCCACGUCAAAGCAGAGUUUAGUUUGUUAAGAUUUUGAAUACACUAUACCAAAAUUACAUUCUUUUGGAGACGACGAAAAGAAGGAGCACAUAAUUCCAUUCAUACACUUACAAACAUCCAAACAAAACACAUAAAAAAGUAAUUUUUAUUCAAAACCCGGAAAGUUUGAACUUGAACAAACCCCAAGAGGACAUUCUUUCUUUUGGGACAGGAGCUGCUCAGAGGACUGGGGCCGGCCGGCUGAAAAAGAAAGCUUGUACAAAUAGAAAACAGAGAUACUACGUACCACAAGCAAAGCAAGCAAGCUCUAGCUAGCUAGCUAGGAACGUGACGAUGGAAGGGUAGGUCCAAAUGCACAAAAAAAAGAGCAUUAUUAGGGCCUUGUUUUUAGUUCCGAAAAGUGAAAAAAUUUCGUUACUGUAUCACUUUCGUUUGUUUGUGACAAAUAUUAUCUAAUUAUGGACUAACUAGGAUCAAAAGAUUCGUCUCGUGAUUUACAGCUAAACUGUGUAAUUAGUUUUUAUUUUCGUCUAUAUUUAAUGUUUCAUGCAUGUGCCACAAGAUUCGAUGUAACGAGAAAUCUUGAAAACUUUUUGGUUUUCAGGGUGAACGCCUAGGUGCAAAUGCAAGUUGGCCAGCAGCAGGCAGUACGUGCACAACGUACGUGUCCCAGUCCCAGUCUCUCAGGCCCAGCAGACAGCACGUACAAGGUGAUCUUGGCUAGCGAUCACAGAUGAGAUAGACGAUAAUAAUGCAGGAGACUGCUAUACGAGGUAGAGAAUCUCCAAGCAGGAAACCACGCGCAAGCAAAGCGGAACCAAAAAGAUGAUGCACGCAUGUAAUAAUAAAGGAGGAAAAAAACCCCAAGGAAGAAAAAGAAAAAGAAGCACCCACAUGCAAGUGAGAAGGAUCGGAGUGACUGAGGACAGAGAAAAAAAGAAAAAGAAGAAAAAUUCAGGGAGGAGAGAGAGAAACGGCAGCAGCAGGGCUCCCCCUCAAAGUCGGAUCCGUUGUCGCCAACCGCUAGGCUCACCGACAACAGAGUACCGGGCCCACACACGGCUGGCGCGGGCCCCAACAGCGCGCAUACCAUCAACUCCGCUAUAGAGGACCGUGCUUAUUGCUACAUGUACUACGUAGGAGUACCUCAGUCCCGAAUGCACGCACAUUUUGCGAGGCGUUUAAUAUUUUUAUUUUUUAAAUACUCCUAGGCCUUAGUUCAAAAUUUUUUUACAAAAUUUUACAGAUUCUUCGUCACAUCAAAUUUUAUGGCACAUGUAUAGAGCAUUAAAUAUAGAUAAAAUAAAUAACUAAUUACAUAAUUUACCUGUAAUUUACAAGACGAAUCUUUUAAGUCUAGUUAGUCCAUGAUUGGAUAAUAUUUAUCAAAUACAAACGAAAGCGCUACAGUAUUCAAUUUGCAAAAUAAUUUUGGAACUAAACAACGCCCUAGUUUUAUACUCCCUAUCUUUGAAAACUUGGACUUCUAGAUUUGUCCUAAGUCAAUUUUUAAAACUUUGACUAAAUUUUUAGAAAAACGCUAAGAUUUAUAGUACUAAAUUAGUACUAUUAGAUUUAUCAUAGAAUAUAUUUUCAUAAGAUAUUCAUUUUAUAUCAUAGAUAUUGAUCUUCUUUUCUAUAAAGUUGGUCAAACUUAAAAAUGUUUGACUGGCACAAAUUUUAGGAGUUAAAGGUUUUAGAGACAUAGGAGGUAUAUAUAUAACUAGCAAAUAUUAACGUACGUUACGUACGUGUUUCUAAAAACUAUUUUAAAUGUAAUUGAUAUACAAUAAUAAUAGAUGGGAAGUGUUUGAUUGAUUUAAUCAGGUAGUAUAGAACAAGGUUUAGAUCCUUUGUUUGUUAGGAUGCCUAUCUUGCCUUUUUAAAUGACUCAUGUUGCUCCUAUCUUAAAUGGCUCGUGUUGCCUCUUAUUUCAUUUCCAUACUUCCAUGGAUCCAUCCUCGUAUGGUCGGAGAAUUCCAAUCUUUUUUUGGGUGGAGAACACGUCAUAAUCUCAGUUGUACUACCAAAGACUCUAGGAAGGUUGGAGAAGAGAGCACUUAUCUUGGAGUGAGUUUACUAUUUAUAUGUUUCCAAUACUUAUCCUGUAUUCCAUACUCCUUUAGCAUGAUUUAGUUAUCGAUUUGAAUAAAGUUUGGAUCAAAUAUUAGAAAUAUAAAUUAUCAAUAACUUUUAAAUUAUUGAGUUUGUAAAUAUAAAAAUUAUAUAAAUAGAUUUGUCUUGAGAAAUACUUUUAUAAAAAUAUACAUAUAUUAUUUUUCUAAUUUAUUAUAAAAAUAAGAAGUCAAAGUUGUGUUUUUGAAGACUAUAUAUGUUGAUGUUUUCAAGGACUUUUAAAUCCUAUACCAACUUAGCUACGCAACGUUUACGUACAGACAGUGAGGGAUUAUGAUUUUAGCAUGUCCCGUCUAAACAUAACUUUAUGUUCUUUCUUUAUGGCCCCAUAAACAACGUAACUUUAUGUUUUUUUAAUUGCUAAUACAUUUGUGGGGCUAGACUUAAAACUUAUGCAGCAGCUCACUUAAUUUGCUUGAACUUAUCAGCCGAAUCUGCGAGUCAUUCCGAUCAUUUUUCUCUCACAACAAACAAGGCCCGCAGGAGUCAGGAGCCUAGGCGGACACGCGAGUACACGCGCAACGCCUCAAAUUCUUCAACUCGAUCGAACAGUAAUCCUCCUCCACGGUCCAUGCCUUGAGAGUAAGUAUUAUAGUAGGCUAUAAGCUGGCUAAAUGCUGAGAUAGAGGAGAGUGAAGAUGAGAGAGUAAAAGCGGGAUGUAAGCUUACAAACGGCUCAGACACAAGAACCAAAAAAGUCUGUAAGAGAGACAAGUAGGUCAUGUAUUAAUAAUGAUGAGUUAACCACUAUAUGAGUGGGCUGCAAGAAGACUGUAAAGAAACCUUACAGCCAGCAGCCGGCUAUAUUAUUAGCCUUGCUCUGAUUAGAUAAUCAGUGAGACAGCCACCGCACGUCCACACAGCAAACGCCCACAGACCUUAGGUGUUCCCAAUAACUAGCUAUUUGGCAAACGCCCACGACAAGAUUUCCCACGUCAGAAUCGUCGUCGAAUGUGCAAUAUCUUGCCGCGCCAAAGUAUGUGGCGCAACUAUAUUAUUUGGUCGCGUGAGCGGGAUUGGCGCGACCAAAGGGGCUAUGGAUUGUAAUAUAUUUUUUGAGAGGAUUAAUAUUGAAAUAUUUAUUAAAAAGGGUUAAAAUCUAAAAAAAGACCUAGAAGGACAGCCCAUAAAAAACUCAGCUUUUUAUAGUGUGAUGAUGAUAAUGAUAAAUAGUAGCAAUAUUUUUAUCUUCAAGUAAGGUUACUAUAUGUAACACCCUAAAAAUUGUUUUCUGGAAAAUAGAGCUAAAAUGAUUUAAUUAUGAACUUCUGUGCUCAUGAAACAUAGGAAAAUAAUAUUUCAUUUAAAUAAAAUUAACCAUAGGACUUAGCAACUUGUUGUGCAUUCAUGCUUUUGCAUUAAUUUUUGUUGACAUGAGUGAUUUGUCUAAAGCUCAAAAAUAUUUCAAAAGUGAUUUUAAAUGGUUUGGAAAAUGACUUUGGAACAAAGGAAAGGAAAUUAGAAAAUAUAUAUAUAAAAAAGAAAAAUCUCUCCCUCUCUCUGUUUUGGCCCGAAGGCCUGGCUCCUUCUUUUCCCCUCGGCCUCGGCCCGUUGGUCAGAGCGCGCAGUCGGCCCAGCAACCGCGGCCCAAUACCCCUCCCUCUUUCCCUUUCACUGACCAGUGGACCCCGCCCGUCAGCCGGCUUCAUCUUCUUCCUCUCGUCGUAAACGAGUUGGACACCACCGGGUGGGCAAACCAAUUCCGUUUCUUCGGGAUUUGCUUGCCAAAUCAGUUAGCCAGCACCCUAUAUGGCUUCGCAAUCUUCCCCGCGCCUCCCUUUCCGCUUAGAUGCACGCGUGGGAAGUCCUAGCCCUACUGUCGCCGUUUUUCGGAUCUUGCCGAGAAAACAUAGGAAGCCGCCGCCGUGGAGCGCCCUAACCGCGUCGUGCCGUCGAAAUUCGAGCCCUUGCCGAGUACUGCAUCGAGAUGAAGACGCUACCGAGCCCCUCUCUAUCCUUUCUCUCGGUCUCUGUGACUCACACCACCUCGCCGAUGUUGCAGGAAGUCCGCCACCCGCAGUUGCACGUGGCCGACCACCUCCUAGCCCUUCCCGUCUUCUAUUGGUGCUCCGAGUGAGUUCGUGAUACUCUCCUCUUGCUUCCCGUGCAAUCGUUUUUUUCAAAUCGUGCCCAGAAUCGCUCAAACGCCAAACUCCGGCGAGCUUUCUCUUUCUCCGGCCAUGGCGCCACCGCUCCGGCCACUGUUCCGGCCGGCAGUUUCCCCUCUCGCCCCCUCUGUUUAAUCCUGACCGUUCACUCGAGAUCUAGUGGACCAGAUUGGCCGAUACCCCUUCGGCCGACAAUUUUUCUAAAGACCCCCUGCCCUUUUUAAGAAACAACCCGCAGUCCGACGCGUAAUCCGCUGAAUACGUUUUCUCAAUUUUAAAAGCGUAUUUGCGUCGGGUUAAAAGAAAAUACGUUUUCUAAAAAUUACAGUUUUGCCACUAGAAUUGUUUUGAUCAUAAAGUGCUCAUUUUAAAUCCGAUUUGGUCCAUUCAAAUUGCGUUGAAUUCGUAAUAAUGAUCUCUACAUGUUAGUAAAAUUAUUUACUCAGUUUGAAAGUUUCUAAUUUCGUGAUCCUAUUUAAUUAAUUAUUUCUCUAUAGGAAAUCUUAGAAAAUUCAUAUCUUCUCCGUUUCAACUCCGUUUUUCGUGAUCUUUACGUCUAUGAGAUCGUAGCGAUGCGUAGAGUCAUUUUAUAAACUUUUUAUACUGUUUUCAUAUGAUUGGUGUACUGUUCUAAUUGUAGCCUUGUUUGCUUCGUGUAUGUUUCCUUCGAUUGUUUGUGUGAUCGAUGAUCGAGUUUAGACGGAGAGCAGUUUCGGUGAUCAAGAUCAAAGCUUUGGCAACAAGUGAGACCAGCAGAACCAAAAGGAUAAGCAAGAGCAUUUGGAUUAAGGCAAGUAUAGCAUUUGGGUUUUAUUUCUGUGACCAUGAUCUUGUGACUUGAUUAAUGUUUAAGCAACAAAUGAUAAAAAUGACUCUUUAGCCACUUGAUGAUUUAUCUGUAAGUGAUAACCGGGACAACAGUGCAACCAUGAGGGCUAUAAUGGCUCUGGCUUUAGUUAAGUAUGAGUAACUUUUCUAGCUCGUUAGCGGUUACCCGUUGUGGCGCAAUUGGGGAAUAGCAGACCGUGGAUUCCUGCGGGUGAAUCACAUGGACUGACUAAUGAAACCAAGCAGCCCUAACUUGUUAGACGAACCUUUGAAAGACUUCAUAGUGAUCCCUGCCGACCUCCCUAGGAAGGGGGUUAAGAGACUAGCUACCUCGGGCGAAAGGAUAAAUCAUGACUCAUGGGUAAAGAUGUGCAACCUCUGCAGAGGGUUAAAAACUAGUAUACUAGCCGUGCUCACGGUCAAGAGCGGCCUUGGGGAUUCUUGCUGCGACGAUGAUGAUUCCUGUGUGUUAAAUAUGCUCAUUAUUUAUUACUUAAUGCUUUACAUUAUUUAUGUCACAUUGAUCAUGAGAUUGUGGGAGCUAUACAAUCUAGUUGCUAUACUUGUGGAGUUCGACAUGGACUCACUCUUGCUAUUUCCCCCACCCUUCAGGAGAAGUUUAGGCUUGUGAUCAACCAGUCAGUUUGAUCUUGUGGAGAGGAGUUAAUACCCGAAGUUGGAGUUAUCUAUCCGUUGUUUGAUACUGAAGGUUAUAUCUUUUAUCUAAGUACGUUAUAUAUUUAUGCAUUGCCUUUUGAUAUUACCCCUUAUUUGUGGCUAUAUGUGAGAUUUGCCUUCUAAAACUCACAUAUAGUGCAUAUCUAGUUUUGUCCUUAAAAUCGGGUAUUACACUAUAGAAGUAUCUUUCGCGGUUUAUACAAUGGUGCUCAUAUCAUGAAUAUUUAAUGUUUUUUAUAUAUAUUUGGUUAAAUUUAAAAUGAUCUGUCUUUUUUUAGAAUUAUAUACUGUACAACGUAGAUACUCAUAACGCACGCAUAUUCAUCUCUAUGAACGUACGUACAUAAAUCCUACCCCUAUUUUGGAACAUAUAUAUUCGAGAUUUUCUUUUGUCAUUACAUAGCGUAUUUGUUUUAAACCGUGGAAAACAAAGAAAUCAGUAGAGUACGAAACUACAGCUUGUCGAUAUAUAACAUGUUUAGUGUGCAUAUUUAUUUAAGUACAUAGAAUGAUCGUACACGGCACUUGUCCGUUUGAUCGCUGUAGUUAUACAUACUGUAUCUAUCACGAAAUCUGAUAAUCAUUCGCCAGAUCUGCAAUCGAUCAUUGGCUCUAUUUUCCGGGGUUCCUCCGUCAGUCGUCGUUGUCUAUAUACGUACUGGACCUUAACACCUUAUUUUUUUCUCUUAUUAUUAAGAGGACUCUUUUGAAAAUGUAAGAUUUUUUUAUGUUUCUUAUGUUUUUGUUGUAAAAAUACAUAAAUUGAUUCGUGUGAAUUUAUUUUUAUAUUUUCUAUAUAAAAUUCCUGCGUUCUAAGAAGUCCUCACCUGUUAUCCAAACAUAAUCGUCAUGUUCAAUUAAAGAAAAAAAUAAAACCCGAAACCUCCUCUCCAUCCAUGCACCUUUUUACGUACUGAUGGCCAAACAGGGGUGAUACAACAAGGAAAGGUUAGCACAAGCAUGAUAGCACCUAGUAAGCAAAGUUUUGUACAGGCGGUAUAUUACUACUAGAGUUUAAGGCAAACGCCAGUGUGAAAGACCAAAAAUCGUGAACACUAGUGUAAUAUAUCAUGAAAUCAUUCAUGUUCUCCUUGUAGUUAUCCGCAGUGGCCGCUUGAAACUUUGUGUUUAAGUAUAACAUAAAAUUCCACUUUCAAAAAAUUAAACCAUAUGACGAACCAUAGCAAAAAAGGAUCAAAAUACAAACUACUGAUAUAAUCAGUGCUAUGCGCUAUAAUUAAGUUUUAGUAUUGUGAUAUUGCCACUUUUCCAAGACAUACAGUGCAUGAAAUAAUUGACUCACAGGACAUAAAUAAUUCUAAAAAUAUUAUCAAAUGCAUGCAUGUACGUAAAAAAACAUGAAUGCACAUGCUUGCCACAAAAAUACGCACCAGGUUUAUAUGUUUUGCUCCCGUCAAAUUUCCCUACUGCCACGUUAGGAAGAUGUGAUCGCCAAUUAGGAGAGAAUAUCGGCUCCUACUACAGUUUUGAUUUUAGAAGACAGACUCUUUUAUUGAUGUAGGCGGACAUAAACUGAUAUCAUCUCCAUAAAUAGGUAGUAACUUAGGAAGCAGUCUCCUUAUUUUCAGAGACAAAGAUAAAUUAAUCGUCUCCUAAAAUUGAUUAACAAAGACAGGCCUUCUAAGAGGUCCACCUCUGCAUUAUUCGAUGCAGAGGCUAGGAUUUCAAUAUAUUCUCUUUUCUAAAAAAAGAGGUCCACCUCAAAAAAUAGAGGCCUCAAUUAAAAGACCUAAGGCACACUUAGUAGCCCACUCCAAAUGACCCUAAGUAUAUAUAUGCAACCCCCACCUCUACCUAGCCACCACAGUCAAACAGUAACAGAAGUCGCUCGACUCUCUCCCUCUACACACGCACGCGAGAAGGAGAUGAAUGCCUCCAUCUCUCGCCAUUCCCUCUCUAGUCUCUCUCUCUCUCUCUACGUGCGAGCACAUCCUCUCUACCACACCUCCCUCUUCUGCAUGGAGGCAUAGAGGAGAUGGGCAUGCCUCGCUCUCUGGCAUGGAGGUGAGGAGACGAGUGCGACUCCCUCUCCGGUGUGGAUGCGAGGAGGAGACAGAGGCGUCCCUCUCUCUAUCUCUAUCUCUUCCCCUUGUUAUCUCCCUUAUUAUUUCCUCUCCCUCCCUUUGUGGAUCUAUGGGUGUGUAGGCCUAUGACCGACCCCUCCCUUUGUGGAUCAUCGAGUGUGGAGGCCUAUGAUCGGCUGAUAAUGGCGGCGAGACUCUAGAGCCGACAUGGAGGGCGACGGUACUAGGUACAUCUCUCUAUCUUCUUCCUUCCAAUCUUAUCUCCACCUCACCCACACUCUUCCCUACGUAGAUCUCAUGGCAAUGGGGAGGGAACAAUGAUAGUGGAGGUUGACGAGCUCUUGGAGGCGCGGACAUAGAGGAAACCACCGGGCUUCGGGCUGUGCAUGUUGAAGGGUCAGCGGGUGGCAUGUGUAGAUGAGACUAGCGAGCUUUGGGCAAUGUGUGCAUGUAGGAGCCUCGACAACGGCGACUCCAGAUGGUAUAGCAGGCCCUAGAAACUAGAGCAGACUCUAGAACCUAGAUCUUAAUUUUUUUAUUUAUAGAGAUGGCAUGGUAAUCCACUCGCCUCUAAAAAUACCAUUUUCCAAGGCAGAUCUUUUGGCCAUCUUCGUUAAAAACGAUUAACGGAGACGUUUGCUUUGAGGCGAGCACCAUUUCUGAUCGACUCACAGAAGUGUAAGUCGUAGUAUAUUGAACUUAUUGGUGAUGGGACAAGUGUCGAUUUCCUUAAUAACAAAUUUGUAGUUUGAAAAUAAAUAUAAUUCUAAACAUGACAAUUAGUCAAUUAUAACUAUACUAUUCAAUCAACAAGUACUUUGACAUGGUUCAUAACCUUAGGAAAAUAAGCAUCAGAGUUUGUUUGAUUUUUAGAAAAAUGAAAAGUCUUUAUUUUUGCUUGUGCAUGAGUCGCGCACUCAACCAAACAAAAUUAAAUUUUUGGCUGAAAAGCAAAAACUAUCAAAAAACGAACCAUUUUUUUGAGCCUAAUGUCAUUCUUUUAUAAUUGGUCCAAAACUGAAUCAAGUAAGUAGCCCCAAAAAUGACAUGCAUAACAUGACAACCAAUGAGAGCUCUAGAGUAUUGAAUUGUCCUCCAAGUUGGGCACACUAUUGGGCAAUGAAGACUUGGAUCCAAUGGUUCUCUAACCAGCUCUAGCAUGGCUCUUUAAGUUUUUGUGAGCACAGGAACAAAUUCAUAGGCCUUAUCAUGAUCGAAGGAAGGCAACAUCGAGGAGGGGUAGACCCUCAGUGAAGGCCCAGGACCCAGGACGCCACUACCAACAAACAAAGUCCUGCUCACGCCUCCAAGGAUCACUAGUGAGCGGGCCUUUGCUGACACUGAUGAAGGCUAUUGGUCCACCGCCUCUGAUGAGCGCAUGAGGCCUUGGCAGACCUUGAUUGUUAGGUCAAAUUACUGCCUUCAUGUUGAGAGACUCCCAAGAAACCUCAGGGUCCCAAUGGGCCUUCAUCAUGAAUCGAAAAGGGCCCAUGGGAGAGGGAAACAGCCCGGAUCACCAGCUAAGGCCCCUAAAUGACCGCUCAGUGAUAAAGGAGGUGGGGGUGCAAAGACAGCCAGGAGGUUUGCCUAGAAGCAGCCACCCUUUAAAGAGUGCGUAAUAGCUCACUGAUCGAGCGCCCUUGCGCUGAAGAUGAACGGGGCUAAGCGAUCUGCCGAAGCUGUGGGAUGUCAAAAUGCAUCGGUAGGGGAGCGUUCCGCCUUAGAGGGAAGCAAACGCGAAAGCGGGGGUCGACAAAGCGGAAGCGAGAAUGUCGGCUUGAGUAACAAAAACAUUGGUGAGAAUCCAAUGCCCCGAAAACCCAAGGUUUCCUCCGCAAGGUUCGUCCACGGAGGGUGAGUCAGGCCUAAGAUGUAAUACCCGAUUUUAAGGAUAAAACCAGAUAUGCACCAUAUGUGAGUCUUAGAAGUCAAAUCUCACAUAUAGCUACAAAUAAGGGGUAAUAUCAAAAGACAAUGCAUAAAUAUAUAACAUACUUAGUAUAAAAGGGAUAACCUUUAAUAGCAAACAGCGGAUAGACAACUCCAACUUUGGGUAUUAACUUCUCUCUACAUGAUCCAACUGACUGGUUGAUCACAAGCCUAAACUUCUCCUGAGGUUUGGGGAAAAUAGCAAGAGUGAGUCCAUGUAGAACUCCACAAGUAUAGCAACUAGAUUGUAUAUAUCCUACAAUCUCAUGAUCAAUGUGACAUAAAUAAUGUAAAGCAUUAAAUAAUAAAUAAUGGGCAUAUUUCACACACAAGAAUCAUCAUCGUCGAUGCAAGAAUCCCCAAGGCCGCUCGUGGCCGUGAGCACGGCUAGUAUACCAGUUUUACACUCUGCAGAGGUUGUACAUCUUUACCCAUGAGUCAUGAUUUACCCUUUCGCCCGAGGUGAUCAGCCUCUUAACCCACUUCCAAGGAAGGUCGGCAGGGAUCACUAUGAAGCCUUUCAAAAGUUCGUCUAACAUGUUAGGGCCGCAAGGUUUCCUUUGCGAGCAGAUAUAGAUACCCCCCUUCCGAAUGGCACAAUGACGCGCAGCCUAUACACAUAGAGACAGGGGCUCGCACUAUACCCGUGUCGGUUCAACCCCUCCGCCCUUUCGGGUAACCUCUAACAAGCUAGAAAAGGUCUUCAUACUGAGCUAAAGCGAGAGCCAUUAUAGCCCUCAUGGUUGCACUGUUGUCCCGGUUAUCACUUACAGAUAAAUCAUCAAGUUGCUAAAAAGUCAUUUUUAUCAUUUAUUACUUAACAUUAAUCUAGUCACAGGAUCAUGGUCACAGAAAUAAAAUCUAAAUGCUAUACUUGCCUUAGUCCAAAUGCUAUACUUGAUUCUGCUGGUCUUACUAGUUGUCCAAGGCUCUGAUCUUGAUCACUGAAGCACUCUUGUUCACCACGGAUUGCUCACCGUCUAAAUUCGAUCAUCAACACACAAACAAUCGGAGACAACAUACACGAAGCAAACAAAGCUACAAUUAGAAUAGUACACCAAACAUGUAAAAACGGUAUAAAGAGUUCAUAAAAAGAUUCUACGCAGAGCGACGAUCUCACAGACGUAAAGAUCACGAAAAUCAGAGUUAAAACGUAGAAGUUAUGAAUUUUCUAGAGAAAUAUCAUGUUAAGUCAAUUUGUAUUUUAAAUUAGAAAAAUCAAGGUAAACUAAUUAUAUUUUAUUUAUAAUCCAAUUGCAUAAUUAUUAUUCAAGUUAGGAUUUAAACCAUGAAAUUAAAUAGACUGUCUACGUAAUUAUUAAGAAUAUCUUCAUGAUAUAUAAAGGAUGAAUUUUCUUGAAUUGAGAAAUAAUAGAAAAUAGUGAUUUAUUAUGCAUAAAUGAUAUAUAUAUGACACGAGUAUUAUCUGUAAUCACUAAAGUAUUGCACACCUUUAAUCAAACAUGCAUGCGUGGGUGACGCUCUUUACUGGUGCAAUGAAAGAAUUUACAUGUUUCGACGAACUGGGUAGCCACAACUUGUAUUUGCUUGACACGAAGCCUCUCGGUGACCAAAUCUCCAAUCACAGGAUACACGCUCAACACUUGCAGACCUCCAUUCAUGUGCACCUGUUGGCAGUUCUGAACAACAGUACAACAGUGUGAAGGAUUCUUUACCUUCGCUUAGAAAUCAGACAGCACAACAGUGAUUUUAAUACCUGGAUCCAUCGAUUUUGCUUUGAACAGCGGCGUGACACGCAACAGCUUUUUUUUUCUAGAUGAAUAACGCCGAUCUGGCUUCAACUCGACAAGAACACGACCGUGCACCACCUUGGACUCGACGUGUAUGAGAGUCGCGGAUUGGACAUCACCCAUCAAAUCGUCGAGCGCAGAAAGUUGACCGCGGCGGCAGCGCAAUGAAGAGAGAUAAAACCCUAGAUUUUCUUUUCUUAUCUCGUGUCUAGCUUUUUAGUAUUUAUAAGAAUUAUUGAUAUAUAUAUAUAUAUAUAUAGGGAGAAAAACUCCCCACCUCCACGUCAACUAGCGAUAUGAUACUAAUUGAUUUGCAACCUUCAUCUUUACUAAUAGGCUUAAUUAAUUAUUAAAGCCCAUUAGUAAAUAAAGACAUUGACCAUUGAGAUCAUGGGCUUGAGCGUGGGAUAAAAUGAAAGAUUUUAUUAUUUUCGUAAUUAACUAAUUUAGUCAAUAAAAUAAUUCUAGAAAAGUCCAGAAUUAUUAUUUAAGCCAUGAAAAAUACUCCAAAUGCUCCAAAAAUUCAAGGAAAGAUCUCAGAGACAUUAUGGAACAUGAGAAAACUAAAUAAAGUAUUUGAAGCUUAUGAUAAGAUAACUUGGAGCAUCUAAAAAAAUUAGAUUACGCUCACAGAAAAGUGAGAACAGAAACUGGAAAAAUUUCCGAAAAGUUGUAGAGAUUGCUUGAUGGACGAGGAACUAAAAGAAGUGAUUUAGGUGACAAGGAAAAGAUUUUAGAAAGCUUCUAAUAAAAAGUUGAGCCGAGAAACAAGAAAUUUGGUUAUAGAUAAAGAUAAAGACGUACUGGUCAAGGAAGAUCGAUCUACUAAACGCAUUUUAAAAACUUUGCUCACUCAACACAUAAAGGAGCAACAAGCUAACAUCACAUCAGAACAUAUGCACCAGCAUGUAUGCAUAAUAGUAUUGCUAAGCCUUAUGAUAAAUUUUAAUUUAAUGGAAAAAAUUAUUUUUUCUAUAUUUUUAUGAGCACAAAAAUAUAAAAUUAAAUCAUUUUUACCUAUUUCAAAAAGUAGUAAAUUUUAGAGUGUUACAAAGAUCAGACCGAAAGGCGUAGUCGAUGGACAACAG
rnacentral:lncRNA from 1 species